rnacentral:lncRNA from 1 species
GAAACAAAAACAACUUCAAAUUAUAUUUACAUAUUUACAAUAUUCAUAUUAAAACAUAACAAUGAUGAUUUCGAGAUUCAACACAUAUACUAGCACCAAUUGAACCGAAAACUUAACAAGCAACACCGAGUGUGCAAAAUAAUGGGCUUAGCGUCUAAAAAAACAAACAAAAACUCAGAUAAAUGUAAGAAGCAACAUAUAAACAAAUAAGCCCAUACAUGAACUUAAAUGAAUGGUAUAUAGUGCAGGCAAUGUUUCAGCUUAAAAGAAGCAAAACUGGACUUUUGACCUUUUCCAAAAUGAAGAAAGAAUUUUUUUUUUUUAAAAGUAUCUCCUUCUCUUUAGAUUUUUGUUUCCUAUAAAAUAUAAGCAAAUCAAAUCGCAUUCUCUUAAACUGACACACAAAAGACCAACCCAAGUGAAUGAUCAUCAGAUUAAUAAAAAAAAACUUAUCAAUAUUUAAAAUUGAAAACAUUUAACACAAAAUCUCAUUCUCUCAACCGAAACAGUACGAAACUGAAAAUAAUAUUUACAACAUCAAUUCUAAAAAAACAUAAAUAAUGUUGAUACAACUAUACUCGUGUUAAAGAAGAACCAACACACAAUCAUAACGAAAAAUAAUUUAACAACCAGGCAUAUGCGACACAGGUUGUUACCAUAAUGUCAUCAGCGGUGGGUUUGCUUCCGAUCCCAGUAGAAAGGUUGGAGUUGAAACUUUCACAUUGUUGAUCAAUUUUCUUUUGUCUUAAAGUAGCAUCAUCCUCGAUGGACCAAAGCAUGAAUCAUCACCAACCUUGACGUACUCCUUUUUAGCUCCAUCACUAAUGGAUGUUCCAAACAAUGGUUGUUCACUCCACAAAUACGACAAUAUCAAGAUAAUUGUACAUCUUGUAAAAACAAUCUCAAACCAAAGGAAUAGCCCACAAUAUACAUGGAGUAAAAAGGAGAUGAUGACGCAGACUCAAGCAAUCUUAUUACUUCAUCUCUAAAUUUUUUUCUAGGGUAAGAAGUAAAGAUGUUGAUCCUUGGCCUAUCUGUGUGGGAAAGGAGAGGGUUUGGCUAUGUUUUACGGCGUCGGAGGAGGUGAAGUGAUGAGGGAUUAUUUUGUUGUUGUAGCCGGUGUGAAUGGAGAUCUCGGAAGCCAAUCGGUUGGAUGGGUUGUGUCGCCGUGAAAGUUGUUGGAGGAAGGGUUUUACCGUGGUGGCGAUUUUUGUGUUUAAUGGGGUCUUGCCGGCGACGGAGGGUUUGGUGAAGGCCACACAGAAGGUUUGUUUGUAUGGUUGUGGUUAGGUGAUUGUUAGGUGAUGAGUGUUGGAAUGCGGCGUAUCACGGUGCGGGUGGAAGGCGAAAUAUGGUAUUAAUGUUAUUGUGAGGGUCGAUGAAGAAAAAGAAGGGUAAAAGGAGAGGAAUGGCGAGGAGGAGCUUUGACGGGGGAAGGAGGUUGUAGGAGGAUGACGUCAGAGACCUGACGGGGGAAGGAGGUUGUAGGAGGAUGACGUCAGAGACCUUUGGGAGAAGAAGAGGGUCCUUCCCAAGAGAGAAAGAUCAAAAAUUCUUUAAUUCGUCUCUUUCGUUUUCUUUUAUUUUUUUUCUAGCAGACCAAAAGAGAGAAUUCUGUUGGUGAGUGGGGAUGAAACCAAUCCCUUUUUGAUUGGUGGGAGCGGUCCCUCUCUAAUCCCUUCACCAACUAUUAAUCAAUUUAUUUUCUACUCCUUUUUUUUGUUUUUUCGCCAGCUGUCCUCUUGGAGAGAGGGAGUACUAUUGUGAGCUGUCAUCAACAAUGUCGUUGGGAAUGGAAGGGGGUGACGUGUGUGGUGUGUGCAUUAGGGAAUAACCUUUUAUUUUAACCAAAUAUAAAAUGAGAUAAGAGUGCCACAUGGAGCUCACUAAUUGGACCAAGGAGAUAUUUUAUUUUUUUAAUUUUAUUAAUUAACUAAAUAAAUUAAAUGUUAGUUUAUAAUUGAUUAAUAAGAGAAAAUGAGGAUAAUGCAUGUGAUCAUUUGAUUAAAUUUGAAUCGACGCUUCAGAUUUAAAUCAAAGAAGCAUACGAAAAUUUAAAAUGCCUACAAUGUCUCUUCUAAAUGAUUUAAUGAAUUUAAAACAAAUUAAAUCAAUUAAAUUAAAUAAAACUCACAAUUUUAAAAAUGAACGUGAUAAAAAUAAAAUAAUAACACAAAAUUUAUAUUUUAUUAUCCCGGUUAGUUUAACGAAAGAAUAAAAAUAAAACAACUAAGAAUGAAUAAAAGUCGGACACAAAUUUGCUCGAAAAAUUAAAUCGGACACACUAAAAUGAUCAGUGUGAAAUAAAUUUAUUGGAAAAAUACAGCGUUUAAUUUAAUUUUGAAAUAAAUUUUGACCGGUUAAAAGGCUCAAACGGAUCAAAAUGCGACCGAGAAAGUUGUCGAAAAAUAUAAUGAGCACACCAGGUUAAACUACGUGAACCAUAGAUUAAUAAUACUGACGUCUGCAAGCUUGAUUUCAAAACUUUUUACCCGCUGAUUUUGCAUGUACUUGAGGAAUGAUUUAACCAAUUUGUCUGUAUAUUCAAGAAUUUAUUCUGACUGAUAUUUUAGGUAUUAUUCAUGAUAAAAUGAAAUAUUAUGCUAUACAUAUGAUACAAACUGAAAUUAAAAUCGAAUUUAUGAAAGUUUUAAAAUGUCCGGACAAAAUUGGGGUAUGAUACCAUGUAGCUUGCAUAGGGGAGAAUAAAAAACCCAAGGUUCGGUGGUUUGAUUCUCCGUCACCUCCAUCUUCAUUAGCUCUCAGAUUUUUGUGCUUAGGAUUCUUGAUGUUAACUGCUUAAUUUUCAGAAUUUGUUAAGCUAUAAUUAAGAGAAAGAUUAGGAUAGGAGUGUUGGAGAGGAGUAAGAAUUUGGAGCCUUUUUCCUUGAAUCCGGACAACUCUGCCGCCUCCGGUGCUGCGGUGCCGGAACUCCGACAGUGGUUCUGCUUUGCCUUCAUGUUGGGAUUGUUUGACUGGUCCAAGGAGUGUUCACUCCAUACCAUUCAUUUCCAUGUGUAGCAUUAACAUGCAUGCUGAUAGCAUUUUUUCGUCUUCAUUAUUGGUGCUGAAUUCUUGCUAACUAUGUUGUUUGAGCCUUAGGCCAAGCUACUGUUCAUCUUAAUCAUGAAAGUCUCGUAAUUAAUUAAUCGAUUCCAAUUCCAAUUCUGUUUUUGACAUUACUCUUGAUGUUGUUUGUGUAUGAAAUAGUUUUUAAUUCCUGUUUUUGGCAUUUUUGAGUCACAUAAUUGUAGAGGUAAAUAGCUUAAUUCAUGUUCAAUUAAAGAUUAGGAUUAGGUAAUUAGUUAGGAAUUAGGCUUAAUCAUGUGCAUGUUAGACUAAUUUCUUAAUUUUUCCAGACUUUGUUUUCACGUGAUCAACCAUGCUAGGCUUAGAAUUUCAUUUGGUUUACCAUGCUAAUUUCCAUGUACAUGAGUAAUCUCACUUUGACUAGAUUACGUUUCAUUUGUGGUUAAGGGCUGAACUGAAAAUUCCAUUUCAUUUUAAUUUGAUAUACGUUUGUUCAUCACGAUCAUCAUAUCGCACCAUGCUAUUAUCAUACCCUCUCAUUCAUUUGAGUCGGCAUUUUAAUUCCUUCUUAUUUGAUGCAUACUAACCAGUGUUGUUUUGUGGCGACAUGCAAAUAAGAGAUCUCAACACUAUCCAAAUCCCUUUUAUUUUUAUUCGUUAGUUUGUAGUAUGUGAAGUGCCAUGCCACUUGUAUGGUUUAUACAUGGCACAUGAGUUGUAAAUUAUAUUUCCCUUUCAUGCCUUCAUGUUGUAUUAUGUGGAUCCAUCCCCUCAUUAUGGGUUAAAUGUUCCCCCUCCCCUAGUCAUGUAACAACUUAAAUUUACUGCUUUCUAGUUAGUUCACCAUGCAUGUUAAUAACCAAGAUAAAAUACAAAACGAUAAAAAAAUCAUUUUUGAAAGAAACAAAAGGUACUUGAUUCAAUGUCAAGUUUUUUUUCCAAAUAAAACUCACACCAUUGCAACGCAAACACUCGAUUUGACACCAAGUAUUUCCCACCCUUUCUUUCCCAUCUUAUCUCCUCAAUCGACCACUAUUUCAAAAUCAAUAAGCAAACCCUUCAUCCAACGUUAAAUGGUCCUUUUUUAAAUCAAAUUCAAAAACACAAUAAAUACGAUUAGGAUUGUAUGCCACGAGCCUUAAGUGGUAAAGAAGGGAUGAGAAUGGAGCUUUCCUACACUCGUUCUGAAUACUUCGAACACAAGACGUUUGGCUUGGUAGUUUUAGGUAUUCACCUUUAUCCAUAGUCUUUAGUGCAAUCCAUAAUUAAUAACACUUUCUUAAAACAUAAAAAUAAUCCAACGCAUUCAAACCUUUUGUUUGAGCCUUAGGGCGACGCAAUCGAAAAUCCUUCUUCAAGGUAAUAAAAAUCAACCAAACAAACAAACCUUUUAAACCCAUGAACUAUGGGGCUCUGAUUUCUCACUUCAACAAGUGGGCAUACGUAGGCACAAGGACCCAAAUCCUUGGCGAGCACACUAAUUUAAAAUCUACCUCCACUCCGCAAGCCUUUGGCAAGAAAACAUUCGAUAAAUAACAUCCACGUAAGCGCAAACAUCCUAGAUGGUUCCCAUGGAGUAACAUGGAUGUGAGGGGUGCUAAUACCUUCCCCUUGCAUAACCGACUUCCGAACCUGUUCGUGGUUGCGAUGACCAUUCUUUGAGGUUUUCUAGAUAUUUUCCCUUUCCUUUAGAAUAAAUAAAAACCGAUGGCGACUUUGUAUUUUUCGCGUAGCGACAACUAACGACUCUGGUUGGGAUAUGCAGACAGCUUGUUGGGACUUCCCUAGCGAGCUGGAGACUCUGCUAGGGACAACUCUCUAAGUAAUUCAAGCCUAACCUAGGUCGCUUCCUUGCGUGUGUGGGUGUUUAUCCUUUUGAUUGUUUGUUUUAUUUAUUGCCUUUCGCUUUAAAUUUUGUAAUAUAUGUUACUUGGAUCCAUUGUUCUAUGAUACCGAAUGGAUGACACCUUAAUUGCAAGAAGCCUUGUGGUAAAGACUCUCCACCCGAGUCUAGCGUGGAAAUUAAGAUAGGAUAGGUUGUGUAGUAUGGGCCACCAAGAAGCUUUUCUCGUAAGGGUCGAUACGAGAAUCUCGCUUAGAGUAGAUUCUUUUGGAGAUGUUGACGACUGUCAAGCUUUUGGCGUAAGCGAUCAAUGUCUUCAUUAGGAUCAAUGACUCUAAGGACCUUCAUAGAAUAUUGAACCUUUGACUAAUUAAUAUUGAUGGUCGCGUAGUGCGGGUCCCUAAGAAGCUUUUCUCGCGUGGGUCGGUACAAAGAUCUCACUCAAAGUAGAUUUUCUUGAUCGAGUUGUCGACCGACAAGCUUUUGUUGUAAGCGAAAAACAGUCAAGGAGGUCCAUGACUUUAAGAACCUUGUCUAGAACCCGAUGUCGAUGGUUACGUACUGAGGGUCCCCGAGAAGCUUUUAUCGUGUGGGUUGGUACGAAGAUCUCACCCAGAUUAGACUCAUUUGAGGGAGUUGACGACCGACAAGCUUUUCCCGUCAGCGCCAAACAGUCAAAUGGAUCGAUGAGUAUGGGGUCCCUAUCUAUAACCCUAGACUACAACCAGUGAGAUCCCUAAUAUGGAGAGAAAUCAGUGUUAUCCUCCAUCCGUAUCUCGAGCCUGUGAUACUACGCCUUCUUGUGUAUGCAACUUGUGAAGCCAUGCUUAUGCACCGUACAUUCAUGCAUUCGUGCAUUCGUGCAUUCGUGCAUUCGUGCAUUCAUGCAUCAUGAGUGAUAAAAACAAAUAUAAUACUCAUGCAUCAUUCACAUAUUAUAUUGCAUUUCGUGAGACCCAUCUCACUAUCACUUGGCCUUUUGUCAGACGAACCACUUCCAACAAAGCUGAUUUCCCGACAUCGGUCUUGAACUUGAAGCAUGUCGUAGAUUACCAUGGAAGAAAUACGAAGAGGUCAAGAAGCGUUGAAGGUCGAAAUCAACCAGCUGAAGACUCAGAUGAGUUUGAUCAUGGAGAUCUUGCAGUCAAUGAUGAGGAAGGAGGGAAAGUCCAUGCCAACUGAUGUACUAGAAGGGGUCACUCCGGUGAGUGUGUCUGACCUCAUUCCACCUUAGGAGCAGCCUCAUGGUUUUCGUCCACAUCCUGUACCUCCAAGGGCUCCGUAUCAGUGACCAUUUCUUGUUCCCCGACCAAGGUGAAGGAACCCUGUGUCGGACCAGUAUCCAAAUCAGCAGUGGAACUUCGCUUAAUAAAGAAGAUAGGGACCAAGAAGGCCUCAAAAGCAGUUUGAUCUAGUUCCCAUGUCGUAUGGUUGAAUCCUACCCCUAUUUCUUAAUAGCUCAUUGGUGUAGUUGAGGGAAGCUAAAUCCCCUCCAACACCUCUUCCUCCAGAUUAUGAUGUGAAUACUAGGUGCGAGUUCCAUUCUAGGACGCCUGGACACUUAAUCGAAGACUGUAAGAGCCUCAAGUACAAGGUACAUGAUUUGAUUGAUUCAAGGGUCAUCGUGCUCACACCGUAAGGCCUGAACAUAAUGAACACUCCCAUGCCUCCACAUGAGGGCACAUCUGCAAUGCCAUGACCGAUGCGAAUGGAAAAUAGGGUAGAUUGGAAGAGUCUGCACCUACGAGUAAAGUUUGAGAAGGAUCCCCUUGAAGAUGAUCAUGUUAUCUUCUGUAAGCCUAGUAAUUCCAGUCUGAGGAUCUGAAUAAGGCCAAUUAUGCCCGUAGUCACUAGUUUUAUUAAAACAUGUUCAUGUGUGAUUUUCUUGAUUGUCAUUUGUAACACUAAUUUGUAGCAAACUAGUUUGUUUUUGAAUAAUAAUGACAUUUUAUUGAAUAUGCAUGUUUUGAAUAAAUCCAUUCGUGGCCACUCAUACUUUAUUUUGUCAAUAUCUAACUUUUGUUUGAGCAAAACCUAGAGGAGGAGGAUGAAAUUGAAAACACGAAAUCACUACUCGUAUAUGUAGAAGCAAGCUUCAAUCCAAGAAUUAUUUUGAUGAAGACAACUUGCAUCAAUGCAAAAAGAGAAGAGCUACAAAGUUAUUUCAAGCAUCAAGUUUUCAAAGCCGCAUAUGCAUUUUGAUCAAGUUUCAUUUUCAAGUCAACCGUUUGCAAGAUUGUUGAUUCACUUCUUAGGUAUAUCUAACUCACUCUUAGAUUAGUAUACAAGUGUUCAACAACCAUGAUCUGGAUUUGCAUCUUUUAACAUAACCAUUUGUUAACACCUUGAAAUGCAAGACACAUUUAUUUUUAAGUAUUUUUCUGCAUUUCAACAGUGUUAACCGGUUAACCAUAUGGGUUAACCGGUUAACAGCCCAGUUUUUCAAAUUCUUUGUUAACGUUUGCAUGCGUUAACCGGUUAACCCAUAUGGUUAACCGGUUAACACUGUUCGUUACAGCAAAAAAUGUUUUUGAAAAAUUAUAUCUUUUCAUCAAUGUUCAUGAGGGAAUUGAUACCUCUUUGAAAAGGUGUUUUGGCAAUAUAAAUUAUUAAAUUUUCAAAAUGAAUUUUGACCUCCAAGAAUUUUCAUACAAACUUCAAAUAAUCACUCUCUCAUAUUUUUCCUUCCAUAAAUUUUUGAAAGUGUUCAUAAUAAAAAUUGUCAUCUCAUUCUAUUGUUGAACACUUGCAUAUUAUCUUUUGAGUGACUUAUUUAUCUAAGGAGAAGAUCAAUCAAGAGAAGAUUGAUAACACUACAUCUUUGAUAAAAUCAUUCAUAGAAUUAUUUCUGUUUGACUUGUGAUCCAGGAUUGUUGGACACAAGGGUUGGUGUUGAAGAGGAUUGUUCUUCAUACACUUGUUUGUCUAUAGGUUAGAUAGUAGGCAUCACCGUUUGUGUGAAUAGGCUGUACCAUAUUCUAACUAUAGUGAAUUCUCUUUCGUGUGAAAGGGGAGUGGAUGUACCUUCGGAUUGUGAAGGGAACCACUAUAAUUUCCGGUGUCGUUUACUUUCCGCAUUUUAAUUUUCCGCACUUAAACAAAAAUAUCCAAAAACCGGAAACUAGAUCGAAGAAAUUUUUAUCACCUAAUUCACCCCCCCUCUUAGGCGCAUUUACAACUUACAUUUGGCAUCAGAGCAAGUUAUAGGUAACUUGUUCCUAGAGAUCCAGCAUGGCUUCCGCAAGCAUAAAUCCGGUUUUCAAAGACGGUGGAAGUAGCAACAAGCCCCCACUCUUCUCCGGAGAAUAUUUCGAUUUCUGGAAAAUAAGAAUGAAGGCACAUCUUGAGGCCCAAGGAGAAGGUAUAUGGGAAGCAGUUGAAGAAGGUCCACACAAACCGGUGAAUGUGGUGAAUGGAGUUGGUACCGCAAAGUUGAAAAACACUUAUGACGAAGAUGAUAGGAAAAAGAUUCUGAAUGAGAAGAAGGCAAUCAACAUACUCCAAAGCGCUCUUAGUAUGGACGAGUUCUUCCGUAUAUCUCAAUGUAAAUCGGCAAAGGAGAUUUGGGACACCUUGGUUGAAACACAUGAAGGAACCACCGAAGUGAAGAGAUCGAGGCUAAACACCCUAAGUCAAGAAUAUGAGAUGUUCCGCAUGCAGCCCGGUGAAUCUAUAGUUGCCUUACAAAAGAGAUUCGUCCAUCUAACAAAUCACUUGAUCGCUCUGGGUAAAACUUUCACUAAUGAUGAUCUCAACCUGAAAGUCCUAAGAUCUUUGACAAGAGAAUGGCAACCGAAAGUGACCGCUAUUUCGGAAAAGAAGAGUCUCUCAACGAUGACAUCCGCGUCUCUAUUUGGAAAACUUCAAGAACACGAAUUGGAACUUGGAAGGCUCGAGAAGCACGAAAGUCAAGAAAAGAAGUCCAAGGGAAUUGCCCUGAAGGUUGAUUCAAAAAGGGACAAAGAUGAUGAGACAUCCGAAGAUGAGAACUUUAUGCUUCUUGUAAAGAAGCUUGGUAAGUUUUUUAAUAAAAAUAAGAAUUCCUCUUAUCCUAAAAAGAAUAACCAUUUCAGGAAAAAGGAAGCAUCCACAUCAAUGCAAGACGUUACGUGUUAUGAAUGUGGACAGCAAGGUCACAUAAAGACGGACUGCCCAAAACUUGCAAAGAAAGGAGGAUUCAAAGGCAAGAAGGAAUUCAAAAACAAAAAGGCUUACGUCGCUUGGGACGAUAAUAAGAUCAGUUCAUCUUCGGAAUCGGAAAGAGAUGAAUGUGCGAACAUGGCUCUUAUGGCUUCACAUCACUCCGAUGAAGAAAUCGAUGAGGUGAGUAGCAAUUUUUCAGUUUAUGACAAUGAUGCACAAGAUGUUAUAAAUGAAAUCUUAAAAGAAUGCAAGACAUUGUAUAAAAUUAUUUCAUCCCAAAAGAAACAAAUUUCAUCCUUAGAAGAAAAAAAUACUGCCUUGGAAAAAUAUAUUGAAAGUGGAAAACAAAAGUUGAUGGAUGAAAAACAAAGUCUUGCAUGUAAGAAUUGUGAAUCUUUAUCUUUUCAAAUUGUUCAACUUAAAAGAGUUUUAGAAAGAUAUGAAAAAGGUCAAAUUGGGUUGGAAGAAAUUCUUAAACACCAAAGGUAUUCUAAUGACAAAAGUGGAUUAGGAUAUUCUAAGUUUUCUAAACCAAGCACAAAUAAGACCAUUUUUGUUAAAGCAAGUGAACAAGUUGCUAAAGAGAAAGUAAACAAUUCUAAAAUUAUGCAUCAAAGUCAUAAAAAGAAAAUGAUUGCUAAGAAGAAGAAUUAUGUUCCUAGAUAUAGAAGUAAUUUUCAACCUACUUGCUUUUAUUGUGGAAUCAAAGGGCACACACCUAAUGCUUGUUAUGUGCGAAACUUUAGCGUUCCAACAGGGCAUUAUGUGUGGGUUAAAAAGGGUACUAACUACCAAGGACCCAAAGCAAUUUGGGUACCUAACAAAACUUGAUUUUGUUUUGUAGGUAUGCUUGAAGACAACCUCGAAUCAAUGGUAUCUUGAUAGCGGUUGUUCAAAGCAUAUGACGGGCGACAUCGACAAAUUUUCACAUCUAUCUUUAAAGGCCAAAGGAUAUGUUACAUACGGUGAUGACACCAAAGGGAAGAUCCUUGGAGUAGGAACCAUUGGAGCACCUCCUGUUACCAUCAUCGAAGAUGUCCUUUAUGUUGAAGGCCUAAAGCACAAUUUACUAAGUAUAAGUCAAUUGUGUGACAAAGGGUUCCGAAUCAAUUUCACAAAAGAUGAAUGUGUGAUAGAGCAUGAAGUCACCCAUGACAUCUUGCUAAAAGGUAAAAGGGUUAAUAAUAUUUUUAUGACUUCUUUUGAUGAUUCUUCCUUGAAGGUAAAAUGCCUAAUGACGAACAACAACGAGGCUUGGCUAUGGCAUAAAAGAUUCGCUCAUAUACACAUGGAGCACAUGAACAAAUUAAUAAAGCAUGAUCUUGUCGUUGGUCUUCCAAAGAUUAAGUUCAUCAAGGAUAAGCUGUGUGACGCAUGCCAAAAGGGAAAGCAAACCAAGACAACUUUCAAAUCCAAGAAUGUUGUAUCUUCAUCGAGGCCACUUCAACUCUUGCACAUGGAUCUCUUCGGUCCAUCAAGAACGAAAAGUUUCGGAGGUAAUGUUUACGGUUUGGUAAUUGUUGAUGAUUUCUCUAGAUAUACGUGGACUUUGUUUCUUGUGCAGAAAAGCGAUGCUUUCAAGGCUUUCAAAAAAUAUGCAAAACAAAUUCAGAAUGAGAAGUCUCUUUCAAUAAUCUCCAUUAGAAGUGACCACGGGGGAGAAUUUCAAAACACAUUCUUUGAAGAAUUUUGCGAAAAACACGGAAUUUCCCACAACUUCUCCGCACCACGAACACCACAACAAAACGGUGUCGUAGAGAGAAAGAAUAGAUCCUUGGUGGAACUCGCAAGAACAAUGCUCAGUGACUCCAACCUUCCUAAAUAUUUUUGGGCGGACGCAGUUAGCACAGCAUGCUUUGUUAGCAACCGUGUCAACAUUCGGCCGAUUCUCAAAAAGACUCCGUAUGAGCUUUUCAAAGGAAGGAAACCUAAUAUAUCCUUCUUUCACAUCUUUGGGUGCAAAUGUUUUGUCCUCAACAAUGGAAAGGACAAUCUUGGUAAGUUUGAUGAGAAAUCCGACGAAGGUAUCUUCCUUGGCUACUCCCUUUCUAGUAAGGCUUUUAGAAUUUUCAAUAAAAGAACUCUUACUAUUGAAGAAUCAACGCAUGUAUGUUUUGAUGAAACUAACCCCUCGAAAGAGGAUAACCUUGUUGUUGAUGACGAUGAUGAUAUAAUAGAUGUAUCACAAAAGGAACUUUCAAAUGUUCAAUCAAUUCCACAAGGAGAUGGCUCACCAAUCAUUGAAGAACAUCAUGAUCUACCGAAAGAAUGGAAAACUCAUAGAGAUCACCCCAUCGAUAAAGUUAUUGGUGAUAUUAGCCAAGGCGUUGCAACACGACUAAAUCUCAAAGAUGCUUGUCUCAACAUGGCUUUUGUGUCUCAAAUAGAACCAACCAAAGUCGAUGAAGCCUUAGGCGACGAUCAAUGGAUAGUAGCAAUGCAAGAAGAACUCAACCAAUUCGAAAGAAAUCAAGUUUGGAGUCUUGUACCAAGACCGGACAACAAGCACAUCAUUGGAACAAGAUGGGUCUUCAAGAACAAACUUGAUGAGAAUGGGAUCAUAGUUCGUAACAAAGCAAGAUUGGUCGCACAAGGAUACAACCAACAGGAAGGAAUUGAUUUUGAUGAGACGUUCGCUCCGGUAGCAAGGUUAGAAGCAAUUCGAUUAUUACUUGCUUUUGCUUGUUCUAUGAACUUUCAAUUGUUUCAGAUGGAUGUCAAAAGCGCUUUCCUAAAUGGCUAUAUCAAUGAAGAAGUCUACGUCAAACAACCUCCGGGUUUUGAAGACUUCAAGAACCCCUCACAUGUUUACAAGUUGAAGAAAGCACUAUAUGGUUUAAAGCAAGCACCGAGAGCGUGGUAUGACCGCCUCAGCAACUUUCUAUGUGAAAAGGGAUUUGUAAAAGGAAAGGUUGACAAGACUCUGUUCAUAAAGAAGAUCAAGGGUAACACCUUAUUGGCUCAAGUCUAUGUCGACGACAUCAUCUUCGGUUCAACAAAUAAAGAUCUUUGCGAAGAGUUUUCAACCAUGAUGCAAGGAGAAUUCGAGAUGUCCAUGAUGGGAAAAUUGAACUAUUUUCUUGGACUACAAAUCAAGCAAACCAAGGAUGGCAUCUUCAUCAACCAAUCCAAGUAUUGCAAGGAAUUAUUGAAAAGAUUUGAUAUGGAUAGUUGCAAAGUGAUGUCCACUCCUAUGGGAUCCGGAACGUACGUUGAUCAAGAUGAAUCCGGAAUGUCAAUAGAUAUUACAAAAUAUCGAGGUAUGAUUGGUUCAUUACUAUAUUUGACGGCAAGCCGUCCUGACAUUAUGUUUAGUGUAUGUUUGUGUGCACGCUUUCAAGCAAACCCGAAGGAAUCGCAUCUCACCGCCGUGAAGAGGAUUAUGAAAUAUCUCAAAGGAACAACGAACGUCGGACUAUGGUAUCCAAAAGGUAGUAUAUGCUCCUUGAUUGGUUAUUCUGAUGCUGACUAUGCAGGCUGUAAGACCGAUAGAAAAAGCACAAGUGGUACCUGUCACAUUCUCGGGAAUGCACUAGUGUCGUGGGCAUGCAAGAAGCAAGCAUGUGUCGCACUUAGCACGGCCGAAGCAGAGUACAUUGCAGCAGGCAGUUGUUGUGCACAAAUUUUAUGGCUUAAGCAACAACUUCUGGAUUUUGGUGUAGACCUCGGCUGCAUUCCUCUUCGAUGCGAUAACACAAGUGCCAUCAACAUCACAAAGAACCCGGUCAUGCAUUCAAGGACAAAGCACAUAGAUAUCCGACAUCAUUUCCUUCGAGAUCACGUGCUUAACGGAGAUGUAGAUGUUACGUUCGUGGAUACACAUAACCAACUCGCCGACAUAUUCACAAAACCAUUGGCUAAAGAGCAAUUCUUCAAGAUUCGGCGAGAACUUGGUAUUCUCAAUGAAGGUGACAUCUAACCUUGUCUUCAAAUUACUUGUUAUGUGGUAUAGUUGCUAAAAAUGUGUUUACUUUCAGUUUUUAUGUUAUGCAAUGCUAGCACUUCUUUUUCGCCGUUUUCCGUUUUUCUUACUUUCGCAUGUCCAAAUAUUAUCCGUUUUAAAAUAUUUUUAAAUCGAAAGUUGCGUAUUGAUAAGUGCUAACACUUUGUGCAAAAAUUUUGAAAAGAUCUUUUCCCGAUUCUUCCAAACGGAGCUGCUGUUUUUUUUCUACUUUUUGAAAAAUUCAGUCCGUUAACCGGUUAACGGUAUAGGUUAACCGGUUAACACCUUCCAACAACAACUCUGUUUUUCGUUUUUAAAUACAACAUUUUUAAAUUAAUUGUUUUAUUUUUAUUACGUGUGUUUAUGUUCAAUGCAUGUGCUUUACUCUUCCACCUUCUCCUCAUAACUCUCUCCUCCCUCAUUACUCUCCAUAAACCCUUCAUCUCUUUAUAUUCAACUUUCAUAACUCUCAAACCCCUUUUCCGAAAAUCCAUCUCUAAACCCUAGAAUCUUCAUCUUCUUCAUGGCUCCACCAAGAAUGGGAAAGGCUCCUGUAUCAUCAUCUAGCAGUGAAGAGGAAGAGUUGAAAAUGGAAACCGCCAAGAAAAGGAGGAUGGAUUUCAAAGUCAGGGUUAGACAUCUGCUUAAGGGUAAGUAUGUGAAUCUCAAAUCCUUCACUACUUUCUCUUUCCCUGAGUUGUUGAGAUACCAAGGAUUGCAUGCGUUCAUCACUGAUAAUGGGAAAAUUUACACUGAUUUGGUAAAAUCUUUUCUGAAUCAUUUUACUUUAAAUCUGAAUGAUGAUGAACAACACAUGCUGUCUGCAACUGUAAGAGACUCUGAAAUUGUUACAGACCUUAGGACGUUGGCUGCGUCUCUUAAGAUUCCAUAUUCUGGUUUUUUCCUUCGGAAAGGUGUUAAUCAUGAGGAAGGAAAAUGGGCUCAGUAUGAUAAGAUGGAAUACUACUACUCUAUCUGCAGAUUUCCCAGGGAGGUUGUUAUGUCGGGACAGCGCACUUCUCGCAUACUCUGCUAUGCUAAGAAUCUGUCGGUUGACGAUCGUAUGCUGCAUUAUGUUAUCUGCCAUGUCCUGCUGCCCAAGGAUUCCAACCUGUCUCAAAUCAAUGAUUUGGAAAUGCAAGUUCUGUUUGCAGUGAAGAACAAAAUCCGAGUUAAUUGGCUGCCCACUAUGAUGUAUCAUCUGAGACAGCAACUUUCUCUCAAAACAAGGCUGCCAUACGGUCGCCUUAUCUCAAGGAUUUUGGAACUCACAGAUAUGGAAAUCGGGAGAGAACCGUUUUUGGCUAUGACCACUACCGCCAAUGAAAUCAACGGCGUUACCAUCAUGAAAAAUACUGGAAUUAUUCAAAGCAACGACGGCUCCUACAAAUAUGAUGAUGGGUCCUCCUCUUCAAACUUCCCUAUUCCGGAAGGUGGCAUUACCAAUGAGUUUCUCUAUACUACCAUGAUGAGCCACCACCGUGAAACCACCCGUGCUAUCAAGAGUCUUCGGAACCUAGUGUUGAGUUCCCGCAACCUUCCUGUAGAAGAUGAUGAAGGUGAAGACGGUAGUGAAGCGGAUGGCGAGGAGGAUGAGGCCGGUUCGGAAGAAGAAUAGAGCACUAUGUUUUUUUUUCUAUGUUUCUGUUAUAUGUUGUUCUAAUAUUUUUGUUGUUAAACUAUGUUUAUGCUAUUUAUGUUUACCAAACACUUAACUUUUAAUCCAUAGUUAUUUUGUCAUAAUAUGUGAUUCAAUGUGUGUAUGCUUGUAUACUUGUUUUUUUUUUAGGUCUCUUCCUUUUUGCUAAUGACAAAGGGGGAGAAGACUUGUUUCUCUAAUGGUUUUCUAUGCAGAAUUAUUGUAUGCCUCUCAUUUAGGGGGAGUUCUUAAAUUUAGGGGGAGAAUCAACUUAGAGAAACUUCACUUUCAUGCAUCUAUUUNAGACGUUACGUUGUUUGAAUCGUGGGACAGCCAAGUCACAUAAAGAACGGACUGCCAAAACUUGCAAACGAAAAGGAGGAUCUCAAAGGCAAAAGGGAAUUCAAAAAACAAAGCUCUACGUCGCUUGGGACGCUAAUAAGAUCCGUUCAAUUCUCUCCGGAAUCGCAGAAAGAAGCCAUGAGAUGUCAGCGAAACAUGACUCACUUCAUGGACUUCACAUCCACUCCGCGAUGAAAGAACUCAGAGAGAGGAAGUAGCAUAUUUUCACAGACUUCUAACUGACAAUUGCAUGCCAACGAUGUUAAAUAAUGAAAACUCUCUAAGCACAGAACACUGCAAAGACCGAAUGUUAUAAAUAUUAUCAAUCCAAAAGAACCACAAUUGUUCACAUCCUUAGAAGAAAAAAAUACUCGCCUCCUGGAAAAUAUAUUGAAGUGGAAACACAAGUUGAUGGAUGAACAAACCCAAGAGUCUUGCAUGUAAGAAUUGUGAACUCUUUACUACUUUCAAAUUGUUCACUACAAAGAGUUUCGAAAUAUGAAAAGGCCCCAAUUGGGUUGGAAAAUUCUUCUUAACACAAGGAUAUUUCAAUGACAAGAGUGCUUAAAGACCUUUCUAACUAUUUCUAACCAGACACAAUAAGACCAUUUUUGUUUAAGCAAAGAUGCAACAUUGCCAAGGGCGCAAAGUUACCAACAAUUCUCAAAUUAAUGCAUCAAAGAUCACUAAAGAAAUAUGCUCAAGCAGAAGACAGAUUAAUGUUCCCUAGAUAUAGACAGUAUUUUCCAAGCCUAUUGCUUUCUAAUGUGAAAUCAAAGGGCACACCUAAUGCUUAGUUAUGUGCGAACGCCGUCUGCGUAUCAACAGCAGGAAUAUGUAGUGGGUUAAAAGAGUAUACUACACAAGGACCCAAAAGCAACCUAUGGGUACCUACCCACAAAACACUUGAUUUUGUAUUUCGUAGGUAUGCUGAAGCACUCGAAUCCAAUGGAUAUCUUUCGAUACGCGGUUGUUCAGCACUAUGCGAGCGACAUCGGACAAUUCUUCCACUAUCUUUAAGCAAAGGAUUAUUACAUUCACGGUACGAUGACACAAGGCAGCAUCUUCGGACGUAGGAACCCAUUGGAGCAACUCCUGUUGACCUCAUCGAGAAUGACACCUGUAUGUGAAGGCCUAACCACAAUUUACUCAAGCUAUAGUUCAAUUGUGUGACCAAAGAGGUUCGAAUCAAUUCUCACAAAAGAUGAAUGGUGAACUAGAGACAUGAAGUCACACUCAUGAAAUCCCUUGACUCAAAAGGCUCAAAAGGCGAUUAAUAUACUUUUAUGACUUCUUUUGAUGAUUCUUCACUUGAGGCUAAUGCACCUAUAGAACGAACCCAACCGGCUUUGGCCGGCUAUGGCAUAAAGAUCGCUCUUCACACAUGGAGCACCUGACAACUUAAUAACAGGAUCUUGUCGUCUGGUCUUCCAAAGAUAUAAGUUCAUCCAAGGAAGUUGCAAACCUGUGACACCUGCCAAAGGGCAAAGGCAAACCAGCACGCACUUUCAAAAUCCCAAGAUGUUGUGUCCCUUCCGCGUACAACGACGGCACUUCACUCUUGCACAUGGAAUCCUACUUCGGUCAUCAGAACGAAAAAGUCUCGCGGACCGUAAAAUGUUAGAACGGAUCUAGAAGGUAAUUGUUGCAUGACUUCUCUAGAUUACGUGCGACUUUGUUUCUUGUGCCACGCAACAAGCGCGUUUGCUCUUCAGGCGUUCAAAAAAUAUGCAAAACAAAUUCACGCACAUGAGAAGUCUCUUUCAUAUUUCCAUUAUAGAAGCUGACCACGGGAGAAUUUCAAAAACAUUCUCUUGAAAAUUUUUGCGAAGCACGAAUUUAUCAUAUAUCCGCACCACGAACAACACAACCAACAACCCGGUGUCGUAAGAGAGCAAAGACAUAGUCCUUGGGCGAACUCGACAAAGAACAGAUGCUCCAGUGACUCCAACCUUCCCUAAAUUUUCGUGGGCGAGCACCGCAACGCUUACGCAAGCUGCUUUGUCUAGCAACGUUGUUUCACAUUCGAACCGAUUCUCAAAAACUCCGUAUGAGCCUUUUCAAGGAAGGCACCUCAAUAUAUCAACUUCUUUUCACAUCUUGAGGUGCACCACUGUCAGCUUUGUCACUCAACAUUGGAAGGACAAUUUCGUAAGUUUCGAUGAGAAUCGCGCCGAAGGUAGCUUCCUUGAAGCAUACUCCCUUUAUCAGGCUUCUUAGGAAUUUUCUAAAAGAAAUUUACUAUAAGAUCAACGAUGUAUGUCUUUGAUCAACUUACCUCGAAAGAGGCAUAACCUUGUUGUUGAUGACACAUGAUGGACAUAAAGAGGCUAUCAAAGGGAACUGCAUCAAAUGUUCAACUCCAUUCUACAAGGAGGGGGAAGGCGGAUCACAAUCAUUGAGAUUCCAUGCUCUACCGAAGAGUAGGAGACUCAUAGAGAUCACCCAUUGAUAAAGUUUAAUUAGUGCAUAUUAGCAAGGCGUCCUCUGCAACACGACUCAGAAUCUCACAAGUGCUUGUCUCACACAUGGCUUUGUGUCUAAAUAAACCACCAAAGGUCGAUUGAGCAUUAGGCGACCAUCACAUGCGAUUAGUAGCAAUGCAAGAAGAAUCACAAUUCGAAAGAAACUCAGUUUGCGUAUCCGUUACCAACGACCAAGACAACCAGACAUCAUUGAACAGAUGCGUCGUCAAGACAACUUGCAUUUCGAGGUUCAUAGGGAACACAACCAAAACCAAACGGGGGAACAUAUGGACUAUGUUACGGUUACAAAGCGAGAUUCGGUCGCACAAGCUACAACAGACGAAGGAAAUUGAUUUUGAUGAGAACCGUUCGUCAACCAGGUAGCAAAGUUAGAGGCAAGGUCGAUUUUACUUCUGUUUGCAUUGGUUUAUGCAACUUUCAAUUGUUUUCGAUGAUGUCAGAGCGCUUCCUAAUGGCAAUAUAUCAUGCAGAAGUGCUACGUCAAACACCUCCGGGUUUGACCGACUUCAGAACCUUCCAUGUUUUACGUUUGAGAAAGCACUAUAUGGUUUAAAGCAAGCACCCGAGAGCGUCGGAUAUGAACCGCGACUCAGCAAAACUUUCUAUUGCAAGGGAGUUUGGUAAAGGAAAGCGUUGACAAGUUUGAUUUACAUAAGGAUCAAGGGUAAACUUAUUGGCGCAGUCUAUGUCGACGCAUCAUUCUUCGGUUCACCAAAUAAAGAUUCUUUGCGAAGAGUUUUUUCACCAAUGAUUGCAAGGAGCAAUUCGAGAAUGUCCAAUGACUGGGAAAUUGCAACUAUCUUUCGUGGACUACAAAAUCAGCAAACAGGGUGCCAUCUUCAUCACCAUCAAGUAUGCAAGGAAUUAUUUGAAAGAUUCGAUAUGGUAGUAUGCCAUGUAUGUCCACUCCUAGGGAUCCGGAACGUACGUUUGAUCAAGCUGAAUCCGGAAUGUCAAUGAUAUACCAAUAUCCGAGGUAUAUUGGUUUCAUACUAUAUUUUGCGCAGUGGACCUGACCUAUAUGUUUAGUGCUAAAUGUUUGUGUGCACGCUUUCAAGCACAACCCGAAGGAUCGCAUCUCCACGCCGUGAGGAUUAUGAAAUAUAUCACAAGGGAACACACGAACGUGGGAUAUGGUAUCCAAAGGUUAGUAGUAUGCUCUUGAUUGGUUAUUUUGCAUGUGCGUAUGCGCCUUAAAGACCGAUCGAAAGCAGUAGGACCUGUCACAUAUUCGAAUGCACUAGUGUCCGUGGGCAUGCAAGAGCAGAUGUGUCGAUUAGCCGGCCGAAGAGACACAGUGAGCAGCAGUGGAUUGUGCCACAAUCUCUUCCUGGCAUCACGCACACACUUCUGGAUCUUUGUUAGCUCGCUGCGAUUCUCUUCGAAUGCCGAUAACACAAGUGCUAUCACUCCAAGAACCGGUCUGACUUCAAGACGGAGCAAUACAGCUUCCGACAUUCAUUUCCCUCCAGAUCGUGCUUAACGGAGUGUAGAGUUACGUCUGGAUACACCUACAACUCAAGCUGACAUAUUCCAAACACAUUGCGCUAAGCAGCAAUUCUUCAGGAUUCCUCCGAGAUUGGAUUACUCAUGAAGGUGCAUCUAACUUGCUUCAAAUUACUUGUUAUGUGGCAUAGUUGCCUAAAAAUGUGUUUUCUUCAGUUCUUUAGUUUAUGCUGCUACAGCAUUCUUUUUCGCGUUUUCCGUUUUCUUACUUUGCAUGAUACCAAAUAUUAUCGUUUAAACAUAUGUUUAACUCGAAGGUUGCGUUUGAUAAGUGCGAACACUGUGUGCAAAAUUUUGCAAAGAUCUUCGAUUUCACACGGAGCUGCUGUUUUUUUUCUACUGUUUUGACAAUAUUCGUCGGUUACGGUUACGGUAUUAGGCAGCCGCAGUUAACACCUCCAUCCCACAACAACUCUGUUCUUCGUUUUAACGGAAAUUUUUAAAUUAUUGUUUUAAUUUUCUGUUGUGUGAUUUAUGUUAAUGCCAUGUGCCUUUACUAUUCCCUUCUCCUUCAUAACUCUCUCCUCCCUUCAUUACUCUCCAUAACCCUUCAUUCUUUAUUUCACCUUCAUACAACUUUCAAACCCCUUUUCGAAAUCCAUCUCAUAAACCCUAGAAUCUUCAUUUUUCUGGCUCACAAGUGGGACAAGGCUCCUGUAUCUUUCAUCUUCCAGCAGUGAAUGAGGAGAGUUGAAUGGAAACGCCAGAAAGCGAGGAUGGAUUCAAAGUCAGAGGUGGAUCUGUUAAAGCGGUAAGUAUGUUGAAUCUCAAUACCAUUCAUACUUUUUUCACUGAGUUGAUUGAGAAUCUCAAGAUGUGCCAUGAGUUUAACUGAUAAUGGGAAAUUUCAGCUGUUUGUAAAAUCUUUUCUGAACCAUUUUACUUUAAAUUGAAAUGUAUGAUGAACUACACAUGCUGUCGGCACCUGUAAGAGACUCGUGGAAAUUGUACAGACCUAAAAGGACGUUGGCUUUGGCGGGGCGGGCUUUUAUUCUCUAUUAGAUUCCAUAUUCAGGCUACGUUUCCUUCAGGAAGUGUUAUCGUGAUGGGAAAUGGGCUCAGUAUGGUAAGAGGGAUAUAACUACUCUAUCUGCGAUUCCAGGGCAAGGUUGUUACUGUCGGGAAACGCACUUCUCGCCCACUCUGCAUAUGGCUUAGAAUUCUGUCGGAUUGCACGCAUGAAUAUGCGUGGCAUUUAUGUUAUCUGCCAUGUCCUGCUCGCCCAAGGUUCAACCUGUCUCAUCAAUUGUUUGGAUUGCAAGUUCUGUUUAGCAGUGAGAACACGAACUCCGGACGUUACAUAGGCUGCCACUAUGAAUCGUUUAUCUGAGACAGCACUUUCUCUCUCCAAACAAGCUUGCAUCGUCGCCUUAUCUUCAGGAUUUGUGGAACUCACAGCAUAUGGGAAAUCGGGGAGAGAAGUUUCUUCGAUUCAUGACCACUAAACCGCAAUGACAGCACAGGCGGCUUACAUCAUGAAAUACUGAAUUAUUCACAGCAACGACAGGCUCCUACAAAUAUGAUGACUGGGUCCUCCUCUUCAACUUCCCUAUUUCCGCAGUGGCCCAUGACCAAAUGCAGUUAUCAUCUUACUACCAAUCAUGAGCCACACGUGAAACCACCCGUGCUAUCAGCAGUCUUCGGCAGCUAAUGAUGAGUUCCGCAACCUUCACUGGGUGAGUGCUAUAGGUGAGAGACGUUAGUGAAAGCGAGGGAUGCGCGGAGGAUGAGGCGGUCUCGUAGAAAGCAUAGAGACACUAUGUUUUUUCUCUUCUUGUUUCUAGUUAUAUGUUCAGUUCUUAAUAAUUUUAUGUAUGUAUACUAUGUUCUAUGCUAAUUUAUGUUUACCAACACUUAACCCUUUUACAUCCAUAGUAUAUUUGGUAACAUAAUAGUGAUUCAAAAUCGUGAUGUAUGCUCUAAUACUAUUGUUUUUUCUUUUAAACGUCUUUCGUUAUUUGCUAAUGACACCAACGAGGAAAGACUGUCUUCUCUCAUGCGUUUCUAUGCAACAAUUAAUUGUAAUGCCUCUCACUUUCAGGGGAGCAAGUUUAAAUUUAGGGAGAGAAUCAAACUUAGCAGAACUUCGCUUUCAUAGAGCACUCUAUUUUCAAAGUGCAGGGGUAUCAUCAAAGGGGAGAUUGUAGAAGCAAGCUUCAAAUCAAAGAUUAUUUUGAUGGAGACACUUGAUCAAUGCAAAGGAGAUGAGCUUACAAAGUUAUUUCAAGCAUCAGUUUCAAGCGCUAUGCUUUUGUCAGCCUUCAUUUUCAAGUCACGUUUAGCAGCUUGUUGAUUCAUUUUCUGGUUAUCUAACUCACUUUUGAAUAGAAUUAGCAUAGUGUUCCAAACCAUGAUCUGAACUUUGCAUCUUUUACAACUAACAUUGUUACACCUCUGAAUGCACGAACAUUUAUUUUUAGUUAUUCUGCAAUCAUUACCGUGCUAACGGUUAACCUAUGGGGUUAACCGGUUAACGCCAGUUUUUUCAAAUUCUUUGUUAAUGUUUGCACUGCAGUUCGACGUUAACCCUAUGGUGUACGCUGUACAUGUCGUGUACCUGCAAAUCCAUGUUUUGAACUUAGUAUCUUUUUCAAUGGUCAUGAGGGAAUGAUACUCUUUGAAGGAUUUGUUGUGGCAUUAAUUAUAAUUUUUCACAUGAUAAUUUGACGUCAGACAUUUUCAUACAACUCUCAAUAUAAUCUCUCAUGCAUAUUUCCUUCCGUAUCAUAACAUUUUUGGAAGGUUCAUAUAAAAUUGUCAUCUCAUUCUUUGUUGAACACUUGACUAUAUUCUUUUGAGCGUGACUUAUUUAUCUAGGGCAUAUCAGAGAGGAUUGAUAAACUACAUCUUUGGAUAAAUCAUUUAGAUUACUUUAUGUUUGACUUUGUUGCAUGGAUUUGUUGGCACAAGGGUUGUGUCGUUUGAAGAGACUUGUGGUCUCAACGUUGUUUGUUAAUAGGUUAGAUGCUAGGCAUCCAGACGUUUGUGUGAUAGGGCUGUUACCAUUACUCUACUAUAGUUGAUUUCUCUUUCGUGUGAAAGGGAGUGGAUGUACUUCGAUUGUGAGGACACACUAUAAUUAUUCCGGUGUCGUUACUUUCCGACAUUUUUAUUUUUCCGCACUUUAACAAAAAUCAAACGGAAAGUAGCUCGAAGAAUCAUUUUCAUCACCUACAUUCACCCCGCCCCCCCCCCUCUUAGGCGCAUUUACAACUUACAGUAUAUUGUUGAAUAAAACCUUGCUGAUGAUGUAAGGCAUUGUUUCAAAUCCCAAACACCAAAGAUAUAAGGAAGAUAAUCCCUAGUCAACCCCUUCGAGCCAAGGAGUAGGAGUUUCUUUCUAAAUAUGAAACCCUUAAUUUUAAACCGGGGCAGGGUAGUCGUCAGUUAGUUUGACCAUGCGUUCAAAUUCCAAAGAUAAAAAGAGGAGUGUCAUAUCUGAGGAUCGACCAUAUCUUAUCCCUCACAAGAGGUCGGAAACCCCCAAAUUCCAAAUGGUUGUCCCUCACCAACAAAGGAAUGAGGCAGUCAUAACCCUUCCCAAUCAAACGGCAAAAUGCCACAUGAAUUGUUUCAACAAAAGAAACAAGAAAAAAAAAAGCCCGCUAAUUCAAAAACUUGAAAAUGAGUGACUUAGGAAAAAGUUAGGGCACCCCUGUGGAUUGUAAAUCUGAACCAAUCCAGCAAAAAUAGGGAAAUGAAAAAAUGAAACAGAAUGAGGAAUCAAAAGAGGAUCCUCAACAAGAACAAAUUAGUGUGGCUAUAAACCAAAUAGAAGGUGCAUGAUUGCCACUCCAAAAAGAAAAAACCUCGUAGGUUCCUUUUCACUCCCAAAUCCCUUUUGGAAUAAGAGAGCUUGUAUCAAACUAGCUGAACGUAGGACUGGAGAACAUCAAGAAGAGUGGGUGGGUUAGGAUAGGUUUGAGUCUUACAUCCUUUCUUUCUGAAACCGUGAACCAUACCACUUUACAACCCUCAAAAGACCUAAUUGAAGCAAGGUUUAUUUCUAAAGCAUACCAUGGUUAGAAUAACCGUGUUAAAAUUGACUCCUUAAUGAUUUGUUCAUCAUUUAUGUUGAUAUUGAUAUGACAUUCUUAAUCAGUGAUGCAUUCAUUGUAUGUCAUAAUUCCAGUGAACACGCUUGGAUUUCAAAACUAGCAUAAACAUGACAUUGCUAUUAUCAUUUCCAAAAAUGAACAUGUGUUACUCAUGAGUGAGCAUCUGAUGUCAAGAGAGUUUUCAUAAUGAACGUGAAUUGGAAAGCUUGAUACCACCAAAAAAGAAGGAUGCCUAAAAGACUUUGUUAAGUAGAGGCAAAUUAUUUCAACUGAUUGAAUCAUAAGACAGAACACCUGAGAACCCCAUUCAGAAGAGACAGGUUACCUUGAUUCGAUCGUACUCAGAGAGAUAAACACCUAAGACGCUGUUGAGCAGCACCAAAUUAUUUUGAUUGAUGACAAUGAGUGUUGAAAGCCUGAGACUCCGUUGAUUAACAAUCGGUCACUUCUUUUGAUUAUAUCAAGGAGCAAAAUGUCCAAGGAACUCCGUUGAGCAGAAGGACAAGAUGUUUCAUAUUUCAAUCAAUCUGAGACAGUUACGUCAAGAAAUUUCAACAAGACUCAGUUAGUCUGAGAAAGUUAUGUCGAGAUUCAGUGAAUCUUUCCAAAGAUCAGAUAGUCAGGGGGUAAACUAUCCCAGUUGAUCGCAUCAGAAGACUAAACACCUAAGAACUCCGCCGAGCAGGGGAAAAUUGUUUUGAUUGAUCCUAUCAAGUGUUGAACGCCUGAGAUUCCACUGAGCAACGACCAGUCACGUCAUGUGAUUACAUCAAGAAGCAGAAUGUCUAAGAACUCUGUUAAGUAGAAAGAUAAGACACUUCAAUUUUCGGUCAAUCUGAAGCAAUCACGUCAAUAAAUCUCUAUAAGAUUCAGUUGAUCUAAGGAAGUUACGUUGAGAUUCAAAAAAUCUCUACAAGACAUUAGUUAAGGGCAUUCCCUCAGAGAUAUUCUAGCCAGGGGAAAAUUUAUUCCAAAACCUAUACUGGGGAAAGUUACCUCAGGAACCCAAGAAGUCAAUCUUCCGAGAUAGUUAAUCAAAGAUAUACAGUUCCAAGAAACUGGGGCAGGUCAGAUCGAGAUAGUUAUUAUGACAAAGCUGCUUUACAACUUAUUAUUGGGGCAAUACAUGCAGAUUCCCACUUGACUGGGGCAUGAAUGGCUAGAGAAGAAAGAUUCUUUAUAUACUUUUGAGGCUGUUCAGAGCAAGAUCUAUGGUGCAUAAGAGACUUCUAAGUUCGAGAUGAAUGUUGGGGAGUCACGCUAAACACAUCCCCUAACCUUUCAACAGAGAACCAUGAUCAUAAAUGAUAAACCCAAUGGUUAUUGGUACCCUGUGUUCUUAAUCUCCAGAUAUUUCCUACCAUACCGUCUAACCAAAAUCCUGACCAUGCAUCAACAUCUGGCAUAAGUAAUCAUGCAUUACAUAACAUUGCAUCAUAAAGCGCGUAGCAUAUUCCAUCAAGAUGGAGCAUUACCCCUUGCAAAAUAAACAUGCAUAUCUGCAUAAAAGUCCUUCUCGAAAGUGUAAAAGAAUCCUCUGAUAAGAUAUUCUUCCUCCCCAGUUGAGAACAUCGUCAUGAAACUUGGGAUUGGUAUUCCCCACAGGUUUCUCGAAGUCUCUCCUUUGCAAAUACCUUAGGAAUCUUCAAUCAGUCGUUUACCUUUCGUAAGUGAUCCCCUACCUUUUUCCUGGGAGGUCCUCUUUCCUUCUUUUAAUACUCUUUCGUAUUGAUUUGCAACACUCGUCCGUGUUAAUCAUCUCUUUUUCAAUACUCGUCCGUAUUGAUCUUCAACACUCGUUUGUGUUAAUCGUUUCAUUUUCGAUACUCAUCCGUAUUGAUCUCCAACACUCGUCCAUGUUGUUACAUUCCUUCAAUACCCGUUUGUAUUGAUCUUCAACACUCGUCCGUGUUAAUCAUUUCAUUUUCGAUACUCGUCUGUAUUGACCUCCAACACUCGUCUAUGUUGAUACCUUCUUUUUCAAUACUCGUCCGUAUUAAUCUUCAACACUCGUCCGCGUUAAUCAUUUAUUUUUCAAUACUCGUCCGUAUUAAUCUUCAACGCUCGUUCGUGUUGUUACUUUCUUUCAAUACUCAUCCGUAUUGGUUUGCAACACUCGUCUGUGUUAAUCAUCUCAUUUUCAAUACUCGUCCGUAUUGAUCUUCAACACUCGUAUGUGUUAAUCAUCUCAUUUUUAAUACUCGUCCGUAUUGAUCUCCAACACUCGUCCAUGUUGUUACCUUCUUUCAAUACUCAUCUGUAUUGACUUGUAACACUCGUCCGUGUUAAUCAUCUCUAUUUCAAUAGUCUUCCGUAUUGAUCGUCAACACUCAUUCGUGUUAAUCAUUCCUUCUUUCAAUACUCGUUCGUAUUGACCCUUAACACUCAUCCGUGUUAAUCAUUACUUCUUCCAAUACCCGUCCGUAUUGAUUUUAAUACUCGUUCGUAUUGAUUUUUAAUACUCGUCCGUAUUGAUUUGCAAUACUCGUCCGUAUUGAGCAUCCACACUCGUCCGUGUUGGUCCUUUGUCAAUACUCGUCAGUAUUGACCUCUAACACCCGUCCGUGUUGAUCUCUUUUACUCGUUUGUAUUGACCUCCAACACCCGUCCGUGUUAAUCAUUUCUUUUUCAAUACUCGUCCAUAUUGAUCUUCGACACUCGUCCAUGUUAAUCAUUUCUUUUUCAAUACUCGUCUGUAUUGGUCUUCAACACUCGUCCGUGUUGUUAAUCAUUUCUUUUUCAAUACUCGUCUGUAUUGAUCUUUGACACUCGUCCGUGUUAAUCAUUUCUUUUUCAAUACUUGUUUGUAUUGAUCUUCAACACUCGUCCGUGUUGUUACCUUUCUUUUUCAAUACUCGUCCGUAUCGAUCUUCGACACUCGUCCGUGUUAAUCAUUUCUUUUUCAAUACUCGUCUGUAUUGAUCUUUAACACUCGUCAGUGUUAAUACCUUCUUUUUCAAUACCUGUCCGUAUUGAUCUUCAACACUCGUCCGUGUUAAUCAUUUAUUUUUCAAUACCCGCCCAUAUUGAUCUUCAACACUCGUCCGUGUUAAUCAUUUCUUUUUCAAUACUCGUUCGUAUUGAUCUGCAACACUCGUCCGUGUUAAUCCUUCCAUUUUCAAUGCUCGUCCAUAUUGAUAUUCGAAACUCGUCCGUGUUAAUCUUUUCUUUUUUGAUACUCAUGCGUAUUGAUGUUCAACGCUCGUUCGUGUUGUUACCUUUUCCUUCGAUACUCGUUCGUGUUGAUCUUCAACAUUCGUCCGUGUUGUCACCUUUCAAUACUCGUCCGUAUUGAUCUCUAACACUCGUCCUUGUUAAUCAUUUCAUUUUCAAUACUUGUCCAUAUUGAUCUCCAACACUCGUCCGUGUUGUUACCUUUUUCCAAUACUCGUCCGUAUUGAUCUGCAACACUCAUCCGUGUUGGCCCUUCCUUUCUGACAUUCACCCGUGUUGAUACCUCAUUUUGAUACUCGUCCGUAUUGGAUUGAUUCACUCGUCCGUGUUAAUCCUCUUUGCAAUACUCGUCCGCAUUGACCUCAACGCUCGUCCGUGUUACUAAACCCCACUUGGUAUUCGUUUGUAGCGGCAUCCAUCAGUCGUAUGUGUGGACCUUACCCUCUUUCUUAACCUUUUGUUCAAAAGACCUCUUUUCCAAUACAGAGGAGCCGCUGCUACCUAUUGUGCGAGAAAAUCGUAUAUCCCCAGCCAACACUUUAUUUGCCUCUGUGAAAUCCUGUGGGAAUACCUCGAUCACCUGUUACAUGCCAAAACAUGACAGGGGAGGCAAGAAAAGAAUGAAAAAGAGAUGAAAACAGAAAAUGAAAAAAGAAAGAAUAAGAAAAAAGAAGAAGCUAAGAGAAAGACGAAAAAAAUAAUCAAUCAUCAAUCAUGCUGCAUUAGCAUAUUGCAUACGUCAUGCAUAUCUAACCUCUCAUUACCCAUCUACCACAUGACAUUCCAAUUCCCAUCAGCUUCCCUGCACAAAGACCUACUUGUUCAUCCCAAAUCCCAGUGAAGGAGUUCUUUGUGACCUAUCUUCACACUUCAUUUGUUCCUGGCGGGAAAAUUUCCUUAUAUUCUAGUAUUUAAUACUCUCAUACCUUCAUUGUCCAAACACCGUUGUUAUCCGUACAUUCAGGUUCGAGAAGAUUAAAUAGGGGCAGCUGUCAUACCCCAAAAUUUGCCUUACCCUUCACAAAGUUCAUUUAGGUCACUAACCCUAGUCAUAUGCAUGUCUUUAUAUCAUUCAUUUCAUCUGCAUAGCCAUUUGUAUGAUACAAAAGGGCAGGUAUCUUAGAUUCUGAGCUUUGUGCUUACACUUGGUGGAAGCUAAGUCUCCUAUACGGAUGAAGGGGGCUUAAUCGAUCAAACCCUAAUCGGAGGUGGCUCUUGAGGUUUAGGUGUAUUCCUAUCAUUGGUAACUCAACUUUGGCUAAGUGGUGAAGCAAAACCCUAAUCUUGGGAUCCUCACUUGAUCAUGGUUUCCACGAACUCUAAUGGUAUACAACGCUCUAUAGAUGGUCUCCAAAACCCUAUCUAUUGGGUCUUUCAUCAUUCCAUUGAGUGUGCCUUUCUCAACAACCUCCUGGUCAGGAGUCGUGCAUGUUGGUUUCUUGGGUUUGAUUCCAUAUAUCACUUGUUUCAAUGUGCAUCUCGUGCUUGUCCGUACCCGGUCAUCCGAUCAUUUGGUCAUUGAACAUUUAAUUUGUAUUCCUUUGUUUCAUUUGGGGUCUUAGUUGAUAUUUAAUUCAUAGGUUGUGUAUGGAUUUUAUCCCGUUAUAUGUCUCGAUUCAUUCCAUUUCAAGUAACCUAGUCAUUUCUUAAGUCAAUUUGCUCAACUAGCCAAUUUCAUUCAUGUUCGUCCAUAAAGAUAGUCAUUACAUUCAAAAAAGGUGCAAAACGAUGUAUAACGUAUUGCAAAACCCAUUUUUGGAAGUUUUCGUUCUGUGAGUCGACACAACACCCACGAGUACGAACAGGUCGACCCACAGAUCGACCUAGUCCUGGGGAAUUUGUAUGCGUUGACUCAUCCAGGCUUUGCAUUGACUCAUUCCUCAUUCUUCUAUAAACCAAUUCACCGCGGGUCCGAGCAGGUCGACUCAUUUCUGGGGAAUCUGGUGUGCAUCGACUCAUCCACCCUUUGCAUCGACUCACUUAUCAUUCUUCUGUGAACCAAUUCGUCGUUGGUCCGAACAGGUCGACCUGGAGCUCGACUCAUCCUGGAGAAUGCUCUAUUUAAGUCGACUCAUCCCCUAUUUGAGUCGACUCAACCUGUUUCUUGCUGCUGAAAUACUGCAAAAUGCAAAUUCUUGCCAUGCCCGCACAAUCACAUUGAUUCACACUCUGCAUUAACUCACAAUUGUGAGUUACUCCAAUAAAUAGCAGGUCAUUAGCCAACAUUAAAGCUUAAUUUCAUUCAAGUUAACCUGCAAUAACCAGUCAUAGAAACCAUUUGAACACAUUCCCCAAAACCAACCAACUAACUUCCAACUUAGUGAGUUAACCGACAAAACUCAUUGAGUUCAUCCCAACUAACUCCCAACCUCUUUUAACUAACUCCAAGCCUUAGGGAUCCCAAGCCUAAUCCCUAUAAAUUCCCAUCUUCACCAUCAUUUGAAGGUCUCUCCACUAUUCACUUCAACUUUCACUACUUUCACAUUUUCUGCAAACAUCACCUUCAACCUUUCUCACUUCAUCUUCCCUAUUUCUUCACCCUACACCAAAGCUCAAACUACCAUUGGAGCAAGCUUCACAUUGAAGCUUGUUAUCAAUUGAGGUAAAACUCUUGUACUCAACAAUCACCCCUGCACUCACCGACUCAACAUCGAUAAUAACGAUCCGGUUCAGAAUUUUUUUGGAGUUGAUUCUUGAAGGAUAAGAGUUCACAGUAGAAGCGGGAGAUCCAAGGUUCAACGUAGCAUACAUCUGUUUUUCUCCUCUUCAUCUUCAUCACUCCCGAAUUUCAACAAGUCCCAAGACAAUCCUCCGUCUUGCAGGUUGGUGAAUCUUUAUCUCUGUCUAACCGUUGAUAUCACCAUGUAGCUUGCAUAGGGGAGAAUCAAAACCCCAAGGUUCGGUGGUUUGAUUCUUCGUCACCUCCAUCUUCAUUAGCUCUAAGAUUUUUUUGCUUAGGAUUCUUGAUGUUAACUGCUUAAUUUCCUGAAUUUGUUGAGCUGUAAUUAAGAUAAAGAUUAGGAUAUGAGAGUUGGAGAUAAGUAAGAAUUUGGAGCCUUUUUCCUUGAAUCCGGCCAACUCCGCCGCCUCUGGCGCGGUGGUGCCGGAACUCCGGUGGUGGUUCUGUUUUACCUUUAUGUUGGGAUUGUUUGACUGGUCCAAGGAGUGUUCACUUCAUACCAUUCAUUGCCAUGUGUAACAUUAACAUGCAUGUUGAUAAAAAAAAUCGUAUUCAUUAUUGGUGGUGAAUUCUUGCUAACUGUGUUGUUUAAGCCUUAGGCUAAGCUACUGUUCAUCUUGAUCACGAUAGCCUCGUAAUUGAUUAGUCGAUUCUAAUUCCAAUUCUAUUCUCGUAAUUGUGUAUGAAAUAGUUUUUAAUUCCUGUUUUUGGGAUUUUGGAGUCACAUAAUUGUAGAGGUAAAUAGCUUAAUUCAUGUUCAAUUAAAUAUUAAGAUUAGGUAAUUAGUUAGGAAUUAGGCUUAAUCAUGUGCAUGUUAGACUAAUUUCUUAAUUUUUCCAAAUAUUGUUUUCACAUGAUCAACCAUUAUAGGCUUAGAAUUUCAUUUGGUUUACGAUGCUAAUUUCCAUGUACAUGAGUAAUCUCACUUUGACUAGAUUACGUUUCAUUUGUGGUUAAGGGCUGAACUGAAAAAUCCAUUUCAUUUUAAGUUCAUAUAGGUUUGUUCAUCAUGAUCAUCAUAUCACACCAUGCUAUUAUCAUACCCUCCCAUUCAUUUGAAUCGGAAUUUUAAUUCCUUCUUAUUUGAUGCAUACUAACCGGUGUUGUUUUGUGGCGACAUGCGAAUAAGAGAUCUCAACACUAUCCAAGUCCCUUUUAUUUUUAUUCGUUAGUUUGUAGUAUGCGAAGUGUCAUGCAACUUGUAUGGUUUAGGCAUGGCACAUGAGUUGUAAAUUGUAUUUUCCUUUCAUGCCUUCAUGUUGUAUUAUGUGGAUCCAUCCCCCCAUUAUGGGUUAAAUGUCCCUCUCCCCCUAGUCAUGUAAUAUCUUAGAUUUACUGCUUUCUAGUUACUUCACCAGGCAUGUUAAUAACCAAGAUAAAAUACAAAACGAUAAACAAAGCAUUUUCGAAAGAAACAAAAGGUACUUGAUUCAACGUCAAGUUUUUUUUUCCGAAUAAAACUCACACCAUUGCAACGCAAACACUCGAUUUGACGCCAAGUAUUCCCCACCCUUUCUUUCCCAUCUUAUCUCCUCAAUCGACCACUAUUUCAAAAUCAAUAAGCAAACCCUUGAUCCAACGUCAAACGGUCCUUUUUCAAAUCAAAUUCAAAAACACAAUAAAUACGAUUAGGAUUGUAUGCCACGAGCCUUAAGUGGUAAAGAAGAGAUGAGAAUGGAACUUUCCUACACUCGUUCUAAAUAGUUCGAACACAAGACGUUUGGCUUGGUAGUUUGAGGUAUUCACCUUUAUCCAUAGUCUUUAGUUCAAUCCGAAAUCAAUAACACUUUCGCAAAACAUAAACACAAUCCAACGCAUUCAAACCUUUUGUUUGAGCCUUAGGGCGACAGAAUCGAAAACCCUUCUUCAAGGUAAUAAAAAUCAACCAACCAAACAAACAUUUUAAACCCACGAACUACGGGGCUCUGAUUUCUCACUUCAACAAGUGGGCAUGCGUAGGCACAAGGAUCCAAAUCCUUGGAGAGCACACAUUUAAAAUCUACCUCCACUCCGCAAACCUUUGGUAAGCAAAGAUUCGAUAAACAACAUCUACGUAAGCGUAAACAUUCAAUAAACAACAUCCAUGUAAGCGCAAACACCCUAGAUGGUUCCUAUGGAGUACCAUAGAUGUAAGGGGUGCUAAUACCUUCCCCUUGCAUAACCGACUUCCAAACUUGUUCGUGGUUGCGAUGACCAUUCUUUGGGGUUUUCUCGAUAUUUUCCCUUUCCUUUGGAAUAAAUAAAAACCGAUGGCGACUCUGUAUUUUUCGCGUAGCGACAAGGGUCAAAUCAGAUAACCACUUCUUUACAAGAUGACCAAGUAAAUGAAGUGGCACAAACUCAGAAGAUGGGAUGGUCAACAAGGGCUAAAACUCAAUCAAUUAGGUUAAUUGACUAUGAAUGAUUUUGUGACCAAACCAUAAAUGAAAAUGGUAACGUGAUUGAAGAAGUAAUGAUAACUGAAUGUGAGCCAAUUAACCUCAAUCAAGACCUGAAAGACAAAAAUUGGCAAGAAGUUAAGAAGGAAGAAGUCAAGGAAAUUUUGGAGUUGGUAAACAACUCAAGCAAGAGAACCAUAGAUGUAAAAUGGGUCCAUAAGCUGAAGCUCAUACCAAAUGGUGAGAUAGCCAAGUAUAAGGUAAGGCUAGUAGCAAAGAGGUUUCUUCAAAGGUCAGGAAUUGAUUUUAGUGAGGUCUAUGCACCAUUUUCCAGACUUGAAACUAUAAAAGUUGUGGUGGCCAUUGCAACAUCCAAAAGGUGUAAGAUACAUCAAUUGGAUGUAAAGUCAUCUUUUCUAAAUGGGCCAUUAGAGAAUGGUGUAUAUAUAAAACAACCAAUUGGUUUGAGAUCAAAGGAAAAUAAGAAAAAUUGUAUAUGAUGAUAAAAGUACUAUAUGAAGUGAUAACUUUUACAUGAAUUUAGGAUUCAACAAAUGCACAUUAGAACCUGGAAUAUAUGCGAAAGGCUCAAGUGAAUAAGAUCAAAUAAUUCUAUGCAUAUAUGUGGAUGAUAUCUUGAUAAAAUUAUCAAAUUAAAUUGAAGUUUCAAAGUUCAAGACUAACAUGGAGAAUGAAUUUGAGAUGUCAUAACUAGGAAACAUGGCUUAUUUUCUAGGUAUGGAGUUUGUAAACAUAAAAUAUUGAUUUUUCUUGUACCUAAAGAAAUAUGUAGAAGAUAUCUUGGAGAAAUUCAACAUGAACAAUUCUAACCCUGCAAUUAGUCUUAUGGAAGAGGCUCUUUGGUUUCUCAUCAAAAUAUUUAAGUUAUAUCUUCCUUUGGUUAACUUUGCAAGUGUUUUUAGAAGAUCACAAGUUUCAUUUUUUAAGGUAUUACAUUCAUUUCACAUGUCAGAUUCAUUUUUUUUUAUAAAAGUGGAAGAGUUUUGGACUUGAUCAUUUUGUAUUUCUCUAAGAUUUUCUAUUUAUUUUUCAAGGAUUUUAAUUUUAGAUUCAAGAGAAGAAAUAAUAUCCUAGGAUAUAGAGACAAUUUCUUCCAAUUUACUUGUUUCUUUUGUUAUCUUCUUACAAAUGUGGAAAAAAGUUGAUAAGAAAAGUAAGAGGUUAUCUUAUCAUCUUGAUGAUUUUCCAUGAGACAAAUGUUGGCUUCUUCUUCGUCAUCUGAAGAUUCCAUAUCUUUAUCCUUCCAUGCAAUGUAAGGUUUCUUGCCCUUCUUAUAAGUUUCUUAUAUUUCUUCUGAUUUUGAUUUUCCUUUUAAGAAAACAUAAAGUUUGAUCUGGUGUAUCCUUUAUUUUCACAUAGGUAACAUGUGGGAUCGAAUGAAGCUUUAUCCUCAUCUUUUUCCUGUUUCUCUUUUUGUUAUUUCUCAUGCCCUAUGCAGGACCGACCCAAUCAUAUCGGAGGCCCCGUUCUAAUUAAAAAAAUGGGCUCAAUUUUUUUUAAAAAUAUAAUUAUAAUAAUUAAAAAAAUAUAUAUCAAAAAUACAAUUAUGUAUUAAUUAAAAAUAAAUUUAAUUAUAAUUAUUUUGAGUUCUGAUCAAUCUUGAUUUUUAUAUGUAUUGAGUUUUUAUCAUAAUAUUUCUUUCAAUUAUUGAGUUUUUUUAAUAACAUUUUAUUUAUUUUUAUUAAUAUUUAUAAAAAAAAUGAAAAUUUUAAAAGUUGGGGCCCUCUAAUAUUUGGGGCCCUGUGUUGCAGCACAUGCUACACUUGCACAGGGCCGGCCCUGGCCUUAUGAGUCUUUUAAAGUUUUCGACUAUAAGGGACAUGUCACCAUGAGAGUCAGAAUCUUCCACUUUGAGCACUAGGCUAUUGUUUUCUUUUCUCCUUCCUCAUAUAUGAAUGGACUAUUUAGUUCAAUCUCGAGUUCCUUCAAUUGACGAAAAAAAAGGUGUGUGUGUUCAUAAUUGCUAAAUCCCUAGAUUCACAAAUCAUAACGAAUUUAGGUUGCCAACUAUUGUUUAAGUACCUAAACAAUUUCACAACUAAUUCCUCAUUUGAAAAUAUUUUUUAUAGAGUUCUCAAAUGACUCAGGAUAUGCAUAAACCGUGUUUGCAUCUUAUUAAUGUUUUGUUCAUGUUUUAUCAUUAAAAGUUCAUACUCCUAAAUUAAUAUGCCAAACCUUGUCCACUUUAACUAAAUAGUCCCUUCGUGGUUACUUUAGAGGAUGUUCACAUUUUUUUUAGUCUUGCAGUGAGAAACUUACAAAAAUUCAUCAAGACCAAGAGUGGUAGUGAUGACAAUUUUUGUUUUCAAAAUGCGCUGCACAUUUUCUUUAUCAUCUUUGGUCCAAUCCUUUUUUCAAGUUUGUUCACUACAACACUAUCAACAUCGUGUGUAUGAACACUACCACAAUCCAUCCCUUUUAUCCCCCUAUCCUAAAAAAAUAGUUUUCAUAAGCUGAACACAAAAAUUGAGUGGAUAUUUUAUAUAACUUUUCCAAUCUGAGUUUUAUAACCGAGCAAUAGUGGCACAACACUAAUAUAACUCUUUCCUCACAAGAAAAUUUCAUUCAUAAGGCACUAAGGAAACUUCGGUGAAAAAGAAUAUAUAUAUAUAUAUAUAGAGAGAGAGAGAGAGAGAGAGAGAGAGAGAAGAGAAGAGAUAAAUUAUAGAAAAUUAGGAAAAUCCCAAAUUCUAGUGUGAAAUUAAGUGAGGAGAAACCUCCUUUAUAUAGGAAAAAAAUUGGAUUUAUAUGGAAAUAAUCCAUGUGCCUUUUAAAUGACCUAAUCAAUUAGAUAUUUGAAAUAAUAGAUCAAUUUAUGCUGAAAAAAGAAAGUUUUAAUAUAUAGUCAUUACUAAUUAUAUUUUCCAAAAAAUUACAGGGUGUGCGUGGUCCCCCUGCAAGGACAUGGAGAAUUUGAGGCCCUAAUAGGUAUAAUAUAGUUUUGAGGGGCGAGGGCUAGCUCACGAAGGUGACUAGCCUUGUACCAUGGUUUUUGAGGUUGUUUGAAGGACCAAAUCACAUGAGGUGAAAUGUCGUGUUGGUUGUCGACACUGUUGGGUGCAGGCGGGUGGUUGAAUUGACGAUGUUAGGACUACUCGGAGCGUAGCACCGUCCAAGCAAUAAUGGAUAUGUAUGCCUUGAUCUUCUCUAUCCCCUUGAGGGAUAGUGUAUUUAUAGGGUCCUCGAUAUCUAGGGUGUUUGCAUCCUGAACAUGGUCUUAACUGCUCCUCGCUUACUAGGAAGUUAUUGACUGCCGAUAUUCUUGAAGUCAGUGAGGAAUCUCUCUCAUGUGUCCCCUAUGUAUGUUGGACCUCCUAAGAGAAUCCCUUAAAUUCCUUUUGGGUGGUCCAUCUGCUGGGCGAGAUCGUCCUAGUAUAUGACUUCAUAAAUAUAACAUUACACAGUCUCUUAAGCACAAGGGAUUUUCGUUAAAGGGAGAAGUGUUUAAUAUUUGAGAUGGGUAAUAAUAUAUUUUUACUCUUUUGUUUAUUAUUUGUGAUUAUUAAUAUAGUUAUUAAGAUGAAAUUUUCAGAUGAGUAAUUCAGAGAGGAAUUACAAUGUUGGCCUCAUAUUGGCGAAAUUAUGAUUUAGAGAGAAAUCUUGAGUAUGAGUUUUGAGUAUAUUUUCUGUUGUUUUGAGUUUAUUGAAUUCUGUUGUCAUGUUCAUGCAUACAUGUAUAUUGGAGUUAGGUAAGACUUAGGUCCGGUGAGGUCAGGAUCAGAGAGGAACCAUGACAAUCUCAAAUUCAUAGAGGAACACGAUUCAAAGAGGAACCAAAGACAUGGAUAAAUUAGUAACACACCUAUGAUACCAUAUUGGAGGAGAAGUAUACUGCAUUAUGCAUUUUUAUUAUAGUUAUUGUUGUUGUUGUGAACUUUAUGUGGGAAUGAUGAUAGAUGUUGUUAUGACUAACUUGCUAUUUAAUUUUAUUGUUAACAUCUGUAAAGUUAUUCUCACCCCAUUUUAUUUAUUUGUGGUGUUUUGUACUCUCUUGGGGUACAAAUAAUCAGGUAAAGUAGUAACUGCUUUAAGCUGGAGGAUGGCGUGAAGGCCUCUUCGUUUACUUGUUGUUUUCUAAUUCUUUUGUUUAGUACCUUUUGUCGCUCUGAUAAUGUAACAUAUGGGGUAUGGCCGUUGUUUCCUUUUAUUUUUCUAAUUAUUGAGUUGAGAUCAAACUGAUAUUUUAUUUGAGUAAUUUUUUUUGAGAUCAUGAGAAGGUAUUGUUAUAUGUUUUAUAAUUCUGCUGCAAUAUGUUUAAAUGGAUGAAAGAUGUUUUAUUUUAAGAAUACGUGACACCCUUUGGUGACAAAUACUCUAAUUUAUUUUAUAAAUUACGCGCCAGGUUUAGGGUGUUACAAAAGGGGUCUUGUUGAACUGGGGAAACAUAAUCUGUUGGGUGGUGACAAAGUCCAAAAGCUUGAAUUUUGUGAACCUUGUGUGUUUGAUAAAUCCUGCAGAGUGAAGUUUAACAAAGGAAAACAAAGAACACAUGAAUCCCUUUGUUACAUUCAUGCGGAUCUUUGGGGUCUAGAAGGAGUCUUUCACACUCAGGUGCAAAGUAUUUUCUAUCCAUAGUUGAUGAUUAUUCCAGAAAGUUAUGGGUAUUCAUUCAGAAGACUAAGGAUGAAAAUUUUGAAAAUUUCAAAAGUUGAAAGACUCUGGUCAAAAAUUAGAUUGGCAAGAAGGUCAAGUGGUUGCGAACCUAUAAUGGCCUUGAGUUAUGCAAUAAAGCUUUCGAUAGUUACUGUAGUAUGUAUACUAUUGCAAGGCACAAGACUACUGCGGGUACUCCUCGGUAAAAUGGCUUGGCUGAGAGAUUCAAUCGAACAAUCCUAGACAGGGUUAGAUGCAUGUUGGUUAGUGUAAGAUUGAAGAAGGUGUUUUGCGCUGAGUCUGCAGUGACUACAACAUACCUGAUAAAUAGGAGCCCCUCGAUUGCCUUGGGAAUGAAGACACCUAAAGAAGACUGGUCGAGACUUCUACCUAAUCUCGACAGACUUAGAGUAUUUGGCUAUUUAGAAUAUGCUCACAUUAGGCAAGACAAGGUUAAACCUAGAGCUAUGAGAUGUAUGUUUCUUGAAUACCCUGAAGAAGUCAAAUCUUAUAGGUUGUGGUGCAUAAAGUUAAGUAACAAGAGAUGCAUCACAAGUCGAGAUGUAGUUUUCAGUGAAUCAGAAAUGGCGUUCAACAAAACUGAUGAUUUUGGUCGAAAUACGAAGAUCUUUGUACAUGAGUUGGAACAUGAAGAGAUUCUUAUUGAGGUAGAGCGUAUUGAUGCUGAAUUGCACAACUCAAAUGAAGUUGAAUAAGAAGCAUAAGUUGCUGAUGAAGAUAAGGAGAAUGAUAAUUACUAUCUGAUGGUAAGAGACAGGUCUACUAGAGUCAUCAAGCCACCUCAGAGACUUGAUUAUGCAUAUCUCAUAACUUUUGCCUUAAUCUAUGCAAGUGAGGUUCUUGAUGAAGAACCUAGAUACUACAAGGAAGCUAUAAGGAGUCAAAACAAGACUAAAUGGAUGAAAUCCAUGGAUAAUGAUAUGAAAUCUCUUCAUGAUAACCAUACUUAGGAGCUGAUCGAGAAACCUGCUGGAGCCAGGUUAGUCAGUUUUAAGUGGAUUUUCAAGGUUAAGAAAGGAAUUGAAAGAGUGAUGUUGAAGAGAUUUAAGGAAAGGUUGGUUGCUAGGGGGUUCACUCGGAAAGAAGGAGUCGAAUUCAAUAAUGUGUUCUCUCCUGUUGUAAAGCAUAUAUCCAUUAGAAUGUUGUUACCCAUGGUGGAAAAGUUUGACCUAGAACUUGAACAAAUGGAUGUGAAGACCUCCUUAUUGUAUAGUGAUUUAGAUGAAACAAUCCUGAUGAGGCAAACUGAAGGGUUUGCAGAAAAAGGAAAUGAAGAUUAUGUGUGCAACCUGAAUAGGUCUUUAUACGGCCUGAAACAAUCUCCUCAUCAAUGGAAUAGGAGAUUCGACAAGUUCAUGACACACAUAGCUUUCACUAGGAGCUAGUUAGACCAUUGUGUUUACUUCAAAUUUUGAUCUGGAAACCCAUUUAUUACUUUGUUUCUUUAUGUGGAUGACAUCCUCAUACAAAAAAACCAUGGAGAGGAUGUUAUGAAGGUGAAGGCUGAAAUCGAUAAGGAGUUUGACAUGAAGGAUAUGGGAGUUACCACCAGGAUUCUUGGGAUUGGCAUUCGAAGAGAUACAAAAUAGUCGAGAUUAUGCUUAUCUCAAGAGACAUACUUGAAGAAGAUUCUCGAUAAAUUUGGUAUGUCGAAUUCAAAUCCUAUUGUAACACCGACAAAUCCUCAAUUCAAGCUGAGUACGACUCAAAGUCCUAGUAUUGAGGUUGAAAGAGUCUAUAUGAAUAACACUCCAUAUCCUAGUAUUGUAGGUUCUUUGAUGUGUGUUAUGGUUUGUACGAGAACAGGCAUAACGAAUGGAGUGAGCCUUGUAAGCGGGUAUAUGAUCAAUCCUGGGAAGGCACACUAGAAAGCUUUAAAGUGGAUUCUAAGAUACAUAAAAGGAUCCCUGAGUAGGGUCUUGAUUUAUGAUGGAGCCAUGAGUGAUGGUGAAGCCGAAGUCAGAGGACUUGUUGACUCUGACUAUGCAGGAUGUAUGGAUACCAAAAAGUCUCUUUCUGGAUAUGUUUUCACUAUGUUUGGUACAACAAUCAGUUGGAAAGUUUCUCUUCAGAAGUUCGUUGCCUUAUCAACCAUUGAAGCUAAAUAUAUUGCCAUCAUUAAAGUUAUGAAAGAAGCAUUAUGACUUGAAAGGAUUGUUAAGGAACCAGAACUUCAAGGUCAAGCUAUCACUGUUAAAUAUGAUAGUCAAAGUGUCAUACAUAUGUCGAAGAAUUCAGCCUAUCAUGAGAGAAGAAAGAACAUUGAUGUUAGGUUGCAUUUCGCCAGGGAGAAAAUUGAAAGUGGAGAAGUCAAAGUGAUGAAGGUUUCAAUAGAUCAUAAUGAUGCAUAUAUGAUCACCAAGUCAUUUCCAAGUAGCAAGGUAUUUCACUGUAUGUAGUUGUUAAAGCUGCAUGAUGAAAUCUAGUUUGUUCCCUUAAUGUUGUAAAGUUUGUUCUAAGAUGGGGAUUUGUAGUAUUUUGGAUCGAACUCUAGUCUCGAUAGGGAUAACUUCAUGUUUUGACAGGAGUUAUGCAUGCUGUAGUCGAAGUCUGUUCAAGCAUGCAGAAGUCGAAGAUGUGCAUGUUGUAGUCGAAGCUUGUUCUAGCAUGUAGUUGUAUAAGUUAGCUUGCUAGUUAAUCUAUCUUAGUGCUUAAGUAGCUUGUUGGUUAAGCUAGCCUGUAGUCUAUAAAUAGAAUGCUCCCUCAGAUUGUUGAGAGAGGGUUAAGUUUGAUUGAUAUUUGCUUGUAAAAAAAUUGUGAAAAUAAAUAGUAAAACGGUUUUAACUAAUUCUUAUUCUUGUUCUUCUCUCUUCUCUCUCUAUCGUAAAUCGAAAAAGGAUUUCUUGUGUUUGUUUAAGAAAUUCAAUAUUUCUCAUAAUUGUAUUCGUUACUAGUGCAGUAUUUGUUACAACAACAACAACAACAAUAAUAAUAAUAAUAAUAAUAAUAAUAAUAAUUAUUAUUAUUAUUAUUAAUAAAAAUACUCCUUUCUAUCUUAGAAAAAUUGUAUUCGUUACUAGUGCAGUAUUUGUUACAACAACAACAACAACAAUAAUAAUAAUAAUAAUAAUAAUAAUAAUAAUUAUUAUUAUUAUUAUUAAUAAAAAUACUCCUUUCUAUCUUAGAAGGUUGAAAAUAUAGUUUUAAAAUAUUAAAUUUUAAUGAUUAGCAAUUUUUUUAUAUUACCAUUUUAAUAAACAUAUUAAAGAAAAAAAAUACAACACAUUAAUCUGCUUAAAGGAUACAAAUAUUUUAUUGUUUCCAACACAACCUUCUCUUUAUCUACAAUAAAUGAGUCAAAUAAUAUUCUAUUAUUAUAUGUAAAGAGAAAAAAAUAUGACUAAAACUCUCAAGUUUGUGUAUGUCAUGAUUUUAUUUUUAUUUUUAGUUGCAAGGAAUGAUGGAGCCGGUAAUUUAUUUUCUCAUCAUUUUCAAUUUUUCUUCUAUAAACUUUAUCUUUUAUAUUAUGUUAGUAACAUUAUUUUACCAUUUUUUUUUCAUUACAGAAUCACGACUAAUUAUUUGUAAAACAGAUGUCGAUUGUCUAGAUAGAUCCGAGUUUCACAAGUAUAUAUGCAUUAGAAAAAGAUGUAGAAUUUUUUUAGUGCCAUUCUAGGAUAAAAUAAACUUAACAAAAAAAAACUUCUAAUUAAAUUAAAAUUUCUAUACUAAAAUCAAUCAACAAGAUUAUCAAGAAUAUCAAGAGUACGCAAUAUCUGAAACAUUUUUUUUCAUAUGAAAUAUGCAUAUGUGUUGCGAAAGAAGGAGCAUCAGAAAUAUCAAGAAUUAAAUCUUAUAUUUAUUACUAGAAGAAUGUCUUUUCUUUGAAGAAUACUUGACCAUCUAUUGUCAAAAUGAUUAAUGAGAUAAAAUACUUGUUUUUCUUUGGAUUCUAUGAUGAAUGAUUCUUUCAUAUAAGUUUAUUUGCGAAGGUCAACUUGUGGGAAUUCUAACUAUUUGGUUUGUACAUUAGUGUUAUUGUUAGUCCAUUUGCAUUUAAAUAAAGAAACAUUGAAUACAACAUAAUCAAUCUUCUAAAUCUCCUCAAUAAUCCUAAAGUACGUUCUGGAUACAACAUAAUCAAUCUUCUAAAUCUCCUCAAUAAUCCUAAAGUACGUUCUGGAUGCCAUAAAAAAUUAUUUUCCUUUGAAUUAGAGAAGUACAUGAACUCUAUCUCAACCAUAACCCCACUAUUUUGCACUAUAUUACAAUUAUCCUUUGAUUUUGUAUAAAAAGAUAUGGCAACCCAAAAAGAAAAUUGUAAAUAUAAAAAAUUUAAAGAAAAACAACACAUUGUGGUGUUUCGUUUUCAAUUUUUUAUCAUUCAUUAUUUUUUUAUAAUAUAAGCCAUUUGUUGCCAGGGUUGCUAAAACUCAUCGAGGGAAAAAAUAGCUUAAAAAUAAAUAAAAAAUAAAACUAAUGAUGUUAUAAUUUGAAGUGUGUCCGUGAGAGACAUUUCCUCGUGGUUGUUAAAGAUGAUUGAAAAAAAAUUGAAUUAAAAAAAAACGUCACUUUUAUAAUGAAUAAAACAAAAAAUUGAUGGUGUUGCGAAUUGAAAUGUAUCCCUGAAAAAAUCUAUGAUUGAUUAAAUUGAUUGAGGGUGAAAGAGACUUAAAAAUUAAUAUCAAAGAGUAUCGCCUAAAGAUUUUUCUUUUAUUUCAAUGCAUUAAUUGAUCCAAAAAGUUCGUCAAAAAAAUGUAUAAUUCAUUAUUGUGAAUAAAAUCCCCCCUUAUCUUAUAAAAUAUCAAGAAGUAUGAAAUUUAAAAUAUCAAGAAAUCUCAAAAACAUCUAUAGAAAUAAUUUUUUUUGGAAGUGCACACAUUUUUCGAAUACAAUCAUCCCAAAUGCAAUUGGAUAAAGUGCUUCAUCAAACAAAACUAAUAUUAUGAAAAGAUGCAUUAACAAGACCAUCCGAACAAAAAUUCCCUUUUCAAAAGAUAUGUGACACUUUAAAACAAAAACUUAUAAUUAGAUUGAGAUAGCUGGAUCAACAAUUUUGAAGGAUCCAAAGCAUAUUUUUAGGAUUAGAAAAAACUUGAAACACUAACUGAAAAUAACUUUUAUGUCAUAAUUUAAGCUAAUCGUUAGCAUAAACUAUUUCUACCGCUAACAUGACAAUAAUCAGUUAUGCAUUGCAUUUUCAAAAUUAUUGAUACCAAGUGGUCGAGAAAAAGCAUCUAAAAAUACUUUUAACUUGUUCAAGACCCCUCAUUAAGCAUUGUAUUUGAUGACAUGAUUGGCGACUAAUUCCCAUUAAAAUAAUAGUUUUAAUCAACUACAACAACAAUCCUUAGUUUUUCUUUUAGUCAAGCAUGCGAAUUUCUAAACUGUACUUCAUUUUGGAUUUUCUCAAAAUCUUAAAUUUUUUUUUCCUCCCAUAAUCUUAAUUUCUCUUUUCUUCUCCAAUUUAUUUUUCUUUUCUUUUUGCAAUCAAGGUGUGGUUGAUUCACAGUUUUUCAUAAGUUUGAUGAACUUUCAACAUCAAAAAUUUGACAAAAUUCCAACAAUUGUCCUGCCCUUAAGAAUACUUUCCUUGUACUGCAAGACGCACUCCUUAAUGUCUUUAUCCAGGUUCUUCUGGGCAUGAUGUAGUCAUCAUCAAAAUACUUUUGUGAUGCAAUACCAUAAAACAUGGCACACAAUGACCCAAGUUUCUUGCCACAAACUCUCCUCCUACUAGUUAUUGUUAAAGUUACUGACUACUACAAAUAACAUAUGUAAUGUCGAAAAUGAAAUGAAUUUCACCUCAGUUACAAUGUCGAGGUAACGAAGGAUGACAUGAAAAAUGAGAACUUUACCCCUUGACUUAAAAAUAGCCGAGAGAUAAUUUAAAUGGUCAUGGAUUCGAAACCCAACAAUAUAUUUUUUAUAUUUUUCAAACUAGCAUCAUAUACCUCUCGGUUUAAUAACAAAACCGAGAAUAUAUAUAUAUAUAUAUAUAUAUAUAUUUAAUAUAUAUAUAUAAUAUAUAUAUAUAUAUAUAUAUAUAUAUAUAUAUAUAUAUAUAUAUAUAUAUAUAUAUAUAUAUAUAUAUUAUAUAUAUAUCAUUACAUUGUUUACACAUAAUAUUAAUAAAAUAAUUUGCUUACAAACUAUAUUGUUUACACAGAAUAUUAAAGUAAAAAUAUUAUUCUUUAUCGUCAUCGUUGUCGGUGAAGAAUAAAUGAUGGAUAUAUUUAAAAAAAACAAAUAUUAGGGAUCCUCGUUUCAUUGAUCUAAAGGAAAAUCAAAUACCAAAUGCAAUAUAUUUUCUAUGACUUUCGCAUUAAUUUGUUUCUGAUAUAAAACAAAAAAAAAGGUUAAAUAAAUAAAAUAAAUAUUCAUUUAAGAGAUUAGGUAAGAAUACAAACCUUGAACCAAUUUUUUCCGGUACUUGCAAUCUAUCACAUAAAUCUUUGGCAAAGUAAAUACAUCUCACCAACCACAUAUUAAAUAAACCUAAAUUUUUUCUGCUCUUGCGCAAUCUAUCACAUUGAUACUUUUACUUUGUAAAAUCUCAUGACACUCUGAUUAAACAUAAAGGGUUUCACAACAACCUUUAGGUUUCUUGUGAUUCACUACUAUCAAAUUUUAAUAUUCAGAAUACUUUUAUAAUGAGGAUUGUAGGUUUCACAAAGAUCACUAAUGACAGUGUCUUGAGCGUUGAUACUUAUUAAAUAGAGGAUCAAGAUUUGUUUAAGGACAGUGAAAAAAUUGAAAAACACGUUAAUAUUUUAUCUCGGUUAUUACUCAAAAUCGGGGUAAAUGUGUUUCUUUUUAAAUAAAAAACAAUAAAAUACGUUCCGACCCAAACGUCACAUACUUCUCGGUUUUUGUUAAAAAUCGAGGGGACACAGUUUUUUUUAUAUUUAUAUUGUUUACACAGAAUAUUAAAAUAAACUAUUUAAACAAAUCAAGAGUUUGACUAUGGAUUUUUGGAGAACAACUCAUCUUUUCAAAUUUCUGAUAAGUUAUCUGUUUUAAAUAAAUGACAUUUUUUUCUAUACUUUCAAUCCAUCAUAGAGAGAUUUCAUUAUGUUAAGCAAAUGUUUGCAUGACAAAUGCUUUUACAUGAAAUAGAAAUUGAUUAUGGUGUUUAUGAAUAAAUUUUUCAAUGUUUUCAACUGAAGAAAAUAAUAACUUUUUUAAUAUUUUCUUUGAUUGACAACAUAGGAAGGUUAUUACAUAAAUACAACAACAUCAAUAUCAUUAUGUGAGAUAGAUUGCAAAAUAUUUUAUUCCGUACCAAAGAAUGAUGCAUAAAGACUUUGGAGCGGUUACAUAUAAGUUAAGUUUAUGAUAAAAUUUGAUUAAUGAGUGCUUUUAUAAUAAAUAUGAAAAUUUAAUCUCUCCGUUAUUAAAUAUAACCGAAGAAAUAAAUAAUUAAUUUAAAAAUAAAAAUAAAAAUAAAAAGAAAGACACUAUUUUAAAAAAAAAUGUUGAGGAUAGGAUUCUAAACAUGUUAUAAAAUACUUUUCCUUUUUAAUUUUAUUUUAAAAUCGAUGUAAUAUAUGAUAUUUAUUAAAAAAAUAUAUAAAAUAUGUCAUGUACUGAUCCUUUACCUUAAUUUUUUUAUUUAUAGGAGUGAUUUCUCAUUAUUUGAUUUGAGUUGAAGAAAAGUUUUCAAUUGUUAGCAUGAACCAACUCUUUUCGAGAUGUGUGGAACACGUUAAUAUUUUAUUUUGUGUAUGACUAUAUUGACACGUUAGUUUUUGCGUUAUUAAUGAUAAUAAUAAUAAUAAUAAUUAUUAUUAUUAUUAAACAUACCCCUUUCUAUCUUCAAAGAUAGUUUUAAAAUAUUAAAUUCUAAUUAUUUACAAUUUUUUUACUAUUUUAACAAAUAUGUUAAAUAAAUAAAAUACAUCACAUUGAUCUGCUUAAGAGACAAAAAAAAUAAAAUAGAAAUGAAAUCUUAAAACUCCCUAAGAGAUACCAAUAUUUUAUAUUUGUAGCAUAACCUUCUAUUUAAAUUUAAACAUUAUAAAAGAGUCGAAUAAUGUUCUAUUUAUUUAUUGUAUGUAAGAGAAAAAAAUAUGGGUAAAACUCUCAUGUUUGUGUAUGUUGUGGUUUUAUUUCUAUUUCUAUUUUUUGUUGCAAGGAAUGAUGGUGGCUCACGUAAUUUAUUUUCUCAUCAUUUUCAAAUUUUCUUCUAUAAACUUGUAUCUUUUAUAUAUCAUGUUAGUAAUAACAUUAUUUUACUAUGUCUUUUUUUUACAGCACGACGAUUUAUUCCUUGUAAAACACGUGCUGAUUGUCCAGAUAGUUCUGAGUUUCAAAAGUAUAUGUGCAUUGAAAGCCUAUGUAAACUUAUUAGAUUGAAGUGAAUCACUCUAGUAUAAAAUAAACUUGAUGAAAUAAAAAAGUUUCUAGUUAAAUUAAAAUUGCCUUGUUAAAAUCAAUUAACAAUUUAUGUCAACAAUGCCAAAUCAAUUGAAAAAUAAGUCAGAUAAGUAGGAAUAUUUACCGCAUACCCCACCUUGUUCCUAUAUUUUUAUAUUUUAUAAAAAAAACAUCAACUUCGUCUUUAUAUAUUUUAAAUUAAUUCAUAAUUUAAAAAAAAAAAAAAAAUUUAUUUUAUGUAUCAAAAGAUUUUAAAAAAAAUUAUGAUAGUCAAUUCUUUAAAAAAAAUUAUUUUUAUUUUGUAUAUCGAAAGAUUUUUCAAAAGAGUUCUAGUAGUUAGUUUUUAACCUUAACUUUUAUUAUGUGUAUUGAAAAACUUUGUAAAAAAAUUCGAUAGUCAAUUUUUUAAUUUUUAUUUUGCAUACCGGAAGACUUUGUAAAAGAGUUUCGAUAAUCAUUUUUUUUUAUAUUUUGUGUAUUAAAAUAUUUGCAAAAGAGUUUUGAUAGUCGAUUUUUAACUUUUAUUUUACGUAUCGAAAAAGUUUUGUUAAUCAUUUUUAACUUUUAUUUAAUGUACCGAAAGAGUUACGAUAGACAGUUUUUUAAAAUAUUUUUUAACUUUUAUUUGUGUAUCGAAAAUUUUGCAAAACAGUUCUCAUCGUCAUUUUUUAAUAUUUUUUUACUUUUAUUUUACGUACUAGAAGACUUUGCAAAGGAGUUCCGAUAGUCAUUUCAGAAAUAUUUUUUAACUUUUAUUUUAUAUACCGGAAGAUUUUACAAAAAAGUUUCGGUAGUCAAUUUUUAACAUUAAUUUUUUUAUAUAUCGGAAGACUUUGGAAAAGAGUUACGAUAAUAAUUUUUUUUUAAUAUUUUUAACAUUUAUUUUCUGUACCGAAAAACUUUGUAAAUAGUCAAUUUUUAUAUAUUUUUUAAAUUUUAAUAAAUUAUUUAUAUGAUGACAUUUUAGUUUAAAAAAAUAUAAUGUAGGGGUAGGGGAAUAACUGAUGGGGUAUGGGAUAAAAUUUUCUACAAGUAGGGAUGGUAAAACGAGUCGAACCCGUCAGACCGAUUCGUUUGACCUGCCAUUUUUGUUGGCCCGGAUCAAAGUUUUCGACUCGCUGCCUUAAGUUGGUAUGUCCCUCCUAAUUCGCUUUAAAAACGGGAUGGGCCGGGGCAAAAAAUUUCGCAGGUUUUUUGUAAAAAUAAAUUUGACUUUGAAUUAAAAUUAAAAGUAUAUCGAGGAGAUUAAUCCACUGUUUUUUUUUCUUUAUGAUAAAAAUCAAAAUUUGAAUACUUACGUCUAACAUUUCCAUGAAUUGAAAAUUUUAUUUUCGUGUUGUUUCACUUAGAUGGAUGGUGGACAUAAGUUGCAACCAUAAAGCUAAAUAAUUUAUCAAAUAGGACUUAAAAGAUUAAGAAGUAAUAAAAUAGUAAAAAAAUAUAUUAUUAUUUAAUAAAAUACUAUAACUUUUUAUAUAUUUUAUUAUAUAAUGAUUUCUUAAAAUUGUGAAUUAUUAUUUGGAAGAUAAUGAAAUAGUAUUUUUUUUUAUUAUUGUUUAAUAAAAUACUAUGAUUUUUUAUAUUUUUUAUUAUAUAAUGAUUUCUUUAAAUUAUAAAUUAUUAUUUGGAAGAUAAUGACAUGAAUAAAAAAUAAACUAAAUAUAAAAAUUUAUAAACAAAGCGGUAAAUCAAAUUGUAAAUAAACUAAUAAUUAAAAAAUUGUAAAUAAAUUAGUAGUUAAACUAAAAGGAAAAAGAAAAAAGUUUGACGGAUCGGCUCGUCAAUCUGCCAGCUUGUUAUUAAACAGGACGAGAUUGAUUUUUGAGCUCGAUCACUUAAAUUGAUUUGUUCCUCCCUAUUUUUGAAUGGAUUUAAGUGGGACGAGUCUAAAAGAGGCGGACGAUCGAUUUUGCCACUUCUAUGUACAAAUAUACAAAAUCAUCAUCAAAUAAUAAAUUUCAGUUAUAUCUACUAAGAUGUUAUUUUCAUCAAUAAUAGUAUUUAUUUAUAUUUAUACUAAUUUUUUAAUUAUAGUUUGGUAUUCUAAAAUCUUAAAAAUAAUUUAAUUUAAUUUUGCAUGUGUCGACAUGGCAACCAAUUAAAGCAUAUUGUAAAAUAUUUAAUAGUUAAAAUGAAAAAAAUAUAUUUUAAUUAAAAACUCAUAAUUAUAAUUCCAUGUCAUAAUAAUGUUACACUUUUGAGUUUUCAAACAAUUUAAAUUAUACUUCUCUUAGAUAGAUAGUCCAAUGAAUUCUUCACCAAAGCUCGUCUCCCCAAAGCCUUCGCAAUUGAUUUCAUUGCUUUAAUCCAUAAGUCCCACAAUCUUCAAACUAUCAACGAUUUUUGACUUAUCACUCUUAUUACAAUUGUUUAUAAGAUUAUCUCCAAACUAUUAGUGGGAAGAUUUAGAAAAGUCAUCGGAAAACUGGUUUCAAUGAACCAAUCUACUUUUGUCCUUGACAUAAGUUUAUCUGAUGUAAUUCUUAUUGUUAAUGAGGUAGUUAACUAUGCUCGAAGGAAUAAGAAAAAUUGUUCGUAUUUAAAGUUGACUUCGAGAAGGUCUUUAACUCAAUUUCUUAGAAUUACCUUCUUUAUGUUCUCAAGAGAAUGAAAUUCAAAAAUAUUUAGAUCAAUUGGAUUCGAGCAUGUGUUUGUUUGUGUGUGUAAGCGCGAGCAUAUGUUUGUGUUCUAAUUCAUUCUCAAUCCUUAUUAAGAUAUUCCAACAACUGAUUUCCAAACUGAGCGUGGUCUUUGGUAAGGUGACCCACUAUCCCCUUUUCUAUUCAUCCUGGCAGCAGAAGGUUGAACAUGUCUUCUGAGAUGUGUAAGCUCUUCUUUGGAUUUUAAACCUUUUAAGAUGAAGGGUAACUUGGAUGUUGAUUUACUGCAAUUCACGGAUGACAUUUUAUGCUAAGUAGUUAUCACAAAUUUUCUCUUCUAGAGAUGCUCUGACUAAAUGAAAUUUCUAAUCCACUUGUCCACCUCUUUAAUUAAAGAAAUGUGUCAAAUGCUUAUGCCAAAAAUAUAUAUUAAAAUAUGAUGUGAGUCACUUUUCAAGCCAAUUGAACUCUUAUUACAAACAAAAUAAGAUAAACCUUCUUAUAAGCAAGUGUAUAUUUAAUUUUGUAAGCAAAACCUUGCCCAUAACUAACUUUGGACUUACCAUUAAAAAUUGGGAUCCCCAAAUGAAUGAAAGGAGUGGUGUCAAUAAAAGAGCCUAAAAGCUCAACAAUUAAUUGUUGUCUCCUAUCUAAAAAUUGAACUAGAUUAAAUGAUCAAUUUUCUAUGAUUAAUAGUUUAACCAUAAGCUUGCUCAUACUUUUAAAAAAAAUCCUAAGUUAUUGCAUAUUAGAUAUGAUGACUGUUAUGAAAUUGAUGCCCAAAAAAUAGAGUAUGAUAGGUUUCUUGAUUAACAAGAAAACCACUAAAGAAAAGAAAAGAGAGAAGAGAAAGAACAAUAAAAGUGGUUAAAAAUUGGAUUAAUCUUUAUUCAAUUACACAUUAGGGAACAAUGUUUACAAUUGAAUCUCAACCACACCACUUUCUUCCUCUGAUAGGAUUAUCUUAGAUUAAUGAAGAAGUGAGAACUAGUAUGCUAUAUCUAAGAAAACAAAACUCUAACUUUUAACUAACAUACUAAACGAUUGACCAAUAGACUGGCCCAAUUAGACAUGCUAACUUAAACAACAAGCUAAUAUAUAUAACUGCAUGUAAGAACAAACUUUGACUAUGAUAUGCACAUCUUCGACUCCUGGCGAACCAUGAAGUUAACCUUGUCGAUGCUAGAGCUUGAUCCAAAUACCACAAAUAUCCACCUUGGAAAAAACUCUACACAAACAAGGGAACAAGCUAGCUUUCAUCAUACAGCUUUAUCAACUGCAUACAAUGGAAGAACUUGCUACUCGAAAAUAUCUUGAUGAUCAUAUUAGAAACAUUGUCAUUAGUUGAAACCUUCAGCACUUGGACUUCUCCAUGUUCGCUUAUCUCUCUGAUGAAAUGCAGCCUCACAUUGAUGUGAUUGGUUCAUUCAUGAUAGGCUGAAUUAUUUGACGGAUGUAUGGCAAUUUGACCAUCAUAUUUAGCAGUGAUAACUUGACCUUGAAGUUUAAGCUCAUUUGCAAAACCUUCAAGCCACAAUGUUUCUUUCACAACUUCAGUGAGGGAAAUAUACUUCGCUUCAAUAGUUGAUAUGGAAACAACCUUUUAAAGUGUUGCUUUACAACUGAUUGUUAUGCCAAACAUAGUGAACACAUAUCCAAAAAUAGAUUUUAUGAAAUCCAUACAACCUGCAUAAUCAUAAUCGACAAAUCCUUCAAUUUUGACUUUGCUAUCAUCACCACAGGCUCCACCAUAAAUCAGGACUCUUCUUAGAGACCCAUUUAUGUACCUUAAAAUACACUUUAAUGCUUGUCAGUAUGCCUUUCCAGGAUUGACCAUGUACUUGCUCACAAGGCUCAUUACAUAUGUUAUGUUUGGCCUUGUACAAAACAUAACAUACAUCAAAGAACCUACUAUACUAGGAUAUGGAAUUCCAUUCAUAUAGGCUCUUUCAACUUCAAUACUAGGACGUUGAUUCAUACUCAACUUGAACUGAGGAUUAGUCUGUAUUACAACUUCGUUUGAAUUCAGUAUACCAAACUUGUUGAGAAUCUUCUUUAGUUAUGUCUCUUGAGAUAAGCAUAAUCUCGACUAAUUUAUAUCUCUCAGGAUGUAAAUCCCAAGAAUCUUGGAGGAAGCUCCCAGAUCCUUCAUGUCGAAAGAGAAAAAAGGCGUGCAUUGCUCAAGUGAAGCACAGUUGGUCGACAUUUUCACCAAAAGAUUGAAGAUCGAUGGAUUCCUGAAUUUGAGAAAGAAAUUAGAAAUAGUUUAGAUCGACUAUGAUUAGCAUAUGUUCGACGAGUUGGAUUAUAGAGGGAUAUGUUGAGAUAUAAGAUAUAAUCCAAGUUGUGUGUGACCCAAUCCAAAGUUAAUUAGGGUUUAAGGUUUGCUACUUAGUUUAUUAUAUUUGUUACUUAGUAGUCACGUAACUAUGUAUAUAAAUACAUGCAUAUAUAAGUCAGUUUGUAACACAAUCACUCUUCAAUAAUAGAAUCCUUAUUUUCAUAUUCUCUCUCUUUUCUCUCGUCACUAAAAGUGCCUCGCGCAAAAAAAAAAAUCUUAAAUAAUAUUUUGUAUAUUCAAUGCACUGAACAUAUAAUAUUUUGUUUAUUUGAAAUUCUUAAUCAAUAUCCUAAAAACAAUGGUUAACAUGACCCUUAAAAUAAUAAUAUUACUCAACGACAAUAACAAUCCUUUAUAUAUAUAUAUAUAUAUAUAUAUAUAUAUAUAUAUAUAUANNNNNNNNNNNNNNNNNNNNNNNNNNNNNNNNNNNNNNNNNNNNNNNNNNNNNNNNNNNNNNNNNNNNNNNNNNNNNNNNNNNNNNNNNNNNNNNNNNNNNNNNNNNNNNNNNNNNNNNNNNNNNNNNNNNNNNNNNNNNNNNNNNNNNNNNNNNNNNNNNNNNNNNNNNNNNNNNNNNNNNNNNNNNNNNNNNNNNNNNNNNNNNNNNNNNNNNNNNNNNNNNNNNNNNNNNNNNNNNNNNNNNNNNNNNNNNNNNNNNNNNNNNNNNNNNNNNNNNNNNNNNNNNNNNNNNNNNNNNNNNNNNNNNNNNNNNNNNNNNNNNNNNNNNNNNNNNNNNNNNNNNNNNNNNNNNNNNNNNNNNNNNNNNNNNNNNNNNNNNNNNNNNNNNNNNNNNNNNNNNNNNNNNNNNNNNNNNNNNNNNNNNNNNNNNNNNNNNNNNNNNNNNNNNNNNNNNNNNNNNNNNNNNNNNNNNNNNNNNNNNNNNNNNNNNNNNNNNNNNNNNNNNNNNNNNNNNNNNNNNNNNNNNNNNNNNNNNNNNNNNNNNNNNNNNNNNNNNNNNNNNNNNNNNNNNNNNNNNNNNNNNNNNNNNNNNNNNNNNNNNNNNNNNNNNNNNNNNNNNNNNNNNNNNNNNNNNNNNNNNNNNNNNNNNNNNNNNNNNNNNNNNNNNNNNNNNNNNNNNNNNNNNNNNNNNNNNNNNNNNNNNNNNNNNNNNNNNNNNNNNNNNNNNNNNNNNNNNNNNNNNNNNNNNNNNNNNNNNNNNNNNNNNNNNNNNNNNNNNNNNNNNNNNNNNNNNNNNNNNNNNNNNNNNNNNNNNNNNNNNNNNNNNNNNNNNNNNNNNNNNNNNNNNNNNNNNNNNNNNNNNNNNNNNNNNNNNNNNNNNNNNNNNNNNNNNNNNNNNNNNNNNNNNNNNNNNNNNNNNNNNNNNNNNNNNNNNNNNNNNNNNNNNNNNNNNNNNNNNNNNNNNNNNNNNNNNNNNNNNNNNNNNNNNNNNNNNNNNNNNNNNNNNNNNNNNNNNNNNNNNNNNNNNNNNNNNNNNNNNNNNNNNNNNNNNNNNNNNNNNNNNNNNNNNNNNNNNNNNNNNNNNNNNNNNNNNNNNNNNNNNNNNNNNNNNNNNNNNNNNNNNNNNNNNNNNNNNNNNNNNNNNNNNNNNNNNNNNNNNNNNNNNNNNNNNNNNNNNNNNNNNNNNNNNNNNNNNNNNNNNNNNNNNNNNNNNNNNNNNNNNNNNNNNNNNNNNNNNNNNNNNNNNNNNNNNNNNNNNNNNNNNNNNNNNNNNNNNNNNNNNNNNNNNNNNNNNNNNNNNNNNNNNNNNNNNNNNNNNNNNNNNNNNNNNNNNNNNNNNNNNNNNNNNNNNNNNNNNNNNNNNNNNNNNNNNNNNNNNNNNNNNNNNNNNNNNNNNNNNNNNNNNNNNNNNNNNNNNNNNNNNNNNNNNNNNNNNNNNNNNNNNNNNNNNNNNNNNNNNNNNNNNNNNNNNNNNNNNNNNNNNNNNNNNNNNNNNNNNNNNNNNNNNNNNNNNNNNNNNNNNNNNNNNNNNNNNNNNNNNNNNNNNNNNNNNNNNNNNNNNNNNNNNNNNNNNNNNNNNNNNNNNNNNNNNNNNNNNNNNNNNNNNNNNNNNNNNNNNNNNNNNNNNNNNNNNNNNNNNNNNNNNNNNNNNNNNNNNNNNNNNNNNNNNNNNNNNNNNNNNNNNNNNNNNNNUCUCUCUCUCUCUCUCUCUCUCUCUCUCUCUCUCUCUCUCUCUCUCUCUCUCUCUCUCUCUCUCUCUCUCUCUCUCUCUCUCUCUCUCUCUCUCUCUCUCUCAUAUAUAUAUAUAUAUAUAUAUAUAUAUAUAUAUAUAUAUUGAAUUUUACAUUUGUCAAAGAAUCAAAGUUGGAGAGGACAUCUUGAAUUUGAUCAUGAAACUUGGAUGAUCUUCAUCUAAUAAGCAUCAAGUAAGUUAUGGUCCUUGGAAGUUGACCUCCUAAUUAAGGCACAGACAAAAUGACCUAUAAUUUUUCACCAUAAAAAAUGAAUUUCCAAGAAAAACAAACUCUUGAUGCCAACAUGAAAGUUGUUUGGAAUGUCAUAAGGAGUAACUUUGCUCUUGGAAUCAUUUUCAUAUGAUAAACAUUGUAAGAGAUAGGGUCUAGAGAACCCCAGUUUUGAACAGUUGGCUUUCUCUAGUCAACCUCUUUGAACCAACUUGCAAACUUGAAGUUCUCUUGAUUUCUUGGGCUCAUGGAGGAUCAUAUAUGCAUAAGGUGACGUAUGGUGAAGUAUCCCUUGAUAUAUUGGAUCAAAUGUUGAAGAAACUUGCUGAGGAAGUUACAUAAGAUACCCAAAUAAAUUAGGGUUUCCAAGACAAACUAGCUUCAAACUCUUGAUGGAUUCUUGAUCCAAAUGAUAAAUGAAGAAUAUGGGGAUUCAUAUAUGAUGUCUAGAACCAUUUUGAACCAUCUAUUGAUUGAUAUCCUUGCAUUGAGGGUCUCAAACCCUAAUUGUGAGCUUGAUGAGGCAUUGGUAGAUGCACACAAUACCUACAAACACUACGCCAAAAACUGGAAUAGACAGCGCACCUUAGAGGGCGCUUUAUUACAAAAGCGCUCUCUAAAGUGAAGCGAAAAAAUAAGGAGCAAUAGACAGCGCACUUUAGAGGGCGCUUUUGUAAUAAAGCGCCCUCUAAAGGUGAAGGCGAAAUAAGGAGGAGAUAGAGGGACAAAAUACAUGGCGCUUUUCAGAAAAGCCGCCCUAUAGGUACCCCUUAGAGGGCGCUUUUUUAAAAAAGCGCUGUUAUAGUCCAUGUGCAUUUUCCAGUUUUAUAAAGCGGCUCUGGAAAGCUUAGAGAGCGCCUUUCAUAAGCGCCCUCUUAGGCCCCCUUUUGAUGGGCGCUUUUUUCCAAACGCCCUCUAAGGUCCCCUUUAGUAAACAUUAAAAUUAUAACAUAACUGCGCGUUUUGUUAUUUCCACUCCUCUGUUAUUUUCGUUCUUUUUUCACGUUAGGGUUUCUUCACCUGCUACGAUUUUUUCCGAUAACUUCUAGGCGUUCUCCCCUCCACCUCUGUUAGAUCUACGAUGUUUCCUCCUUACUAACCAAUCAAUAGGUAGCACGAUGCAUGCAGGCUUAUGAGUGUUAUUUUUCUAGCAUACAUUAUUACUGCACUAGUGCUUUGUUUUAGCUUUGCCCCAUUCAGUUUUAUGUUAUUGUUUGCCUAUGCUAAACGUUUGUUUCGACCUGUAAAGUUUUCAAAUAUUCAUAGUCAUUUAAAUAGUUUGGGUUAUUAGGAAUUGACGGUUGGUUUUAAAUUUGCUGAAUUUGAUAUCGCUAUGAAAUCAACAUUCAAAGAGACUGUUUUUAGGUUCGGUUUAAAUGGUUGCAUUAUAGACGACAUUAGUAACCUUUGAAUUUCGCGGGGCUGAGAUUGUAGUUUAACAACAUUUGUAAAACCCUUAAAAAAAUUUCCAAAUUUUGAACCUAUCAGGCAGCUAAACUAAACACCUUCUACCAAUCAAAGGUACACUAUGCAAGCUUAUGAGUGUUUUAUUCUAGAUACAUAGUUGUGCUAGUAACUUAAGAAGUUUUAGGUAUGGGAUGUUAUUUGAUAGAGUAAAUGGAGACAUGAAUGCCCUGCACAGAGACUAACAUCAAUAAAGCGAAAUUGGUUUGUCUGGCAUCCCAUUUUUGGUUUAUCUUCUGAAAUUGUUUUUUUGUUUAUUCUAAUUAGUAAAUGGAUAAUACAUGGAUGUCUUCCAAUCGAUUGUCGAGAGACGUAACGAGAAUGGGGUAUCAGAAUUCGUUAAGUUUUGUCGUUGCGCACCGCCGAAGACCCCCGGUAGAAUGAUAUGUCCUUGCUUGGUUGUUGUUAUGGAAACGGGUUUGACGCAGUUCAGUUGACAAUCGGCAUCUCAUGAGGCAUGGAAUUGAUCGAAGUUAUACAUGUUGGAAUUUGCAUGGUGAGAAAAGUAACGAGAAUGUUUGAACGCGGGGGAUAGUACGACAUAUCCUCAAACUAUAGUGGCGCAAAUACAUACGAUUGUGGAUCGAGUUGAAGAGAUUGCAGAAGCACUUUAAAGGAGAUUCUAAGGAUUUGUCCGAAAUGUUUGAGAGGUUGGUAAGUGAUGCAGAGAAACUUUUGUAAUGUAGGUUGCACUAAAUUCACAAGAUUGUCUGCGGUUAUUAAAGUUGUACAACUUAAAGCGGGCAAUGGAUGGUCGGAUAAAAGUUUCCACAGAGUUAUUAGCCCUUUUGAAAGAUAUGCUUCCUGAGGAUAAUGUUCUUCCCAAUCGAACAUAUGAGAACCAAAAAGAUGUUGUGCUCUAUUGGCAUAAAUAUGAUAAGAUACAUGCAUGUCCAAACGAUUGCGUUUUGUUUCGAAAUGAGUAUGCAUCGUUAAAUGAGUGUCCUAAAUGCGGUGUCUCUCGCGAUAUAAGAACAAGUUGUCUCCAGCAAAAGUCUUGGUGGUAUUUCCCUGUUAUUCCGAGAUUUAGACGCAUGUUUGUAGUGAAACCGAUUCAAGACACUUGACCUGGCAUGCAGAUGAAAGAAUUAUAGAUGGAAAAUAUGCGACAUCCGGCAGAUUCACCACAGUGGUUGAAAAUUGAUAAUGAUUAAUCCUAAAUUUGGAGAGAAAUCAAGAAACCUUCGGCUGGCAUUAUCUACUGAUGGAAUGAACCCACACGGUAUCCAGAGUAAUCUCAACAGUACAGUGGCCUGUGAUUAUUAUGAUUUAUAACCUACCUCCAUGGCUAUGUAUGAAGCGUAAGUAACAUGAUGUUGUCUAUGUUGAUUUCUGGACCUCAAAACACCAGGGAAUGACAUAGACGUGUACUUGAAGCCCUUAAUCGAAGAUUUAAAGAUUUUGUGGGAGACGCGGUGUGGAGGUUUAUAAUGGAUAUAGGAAAGAAAGUUUCAACCUUGAGGGCGAUUGUUUGUUUGGCACAAAUUAAUGAUUUUCCAGCAUACGGAAAUCUAUCAGGGUAUAAGCAUAAAAGGGUCAAUGUGCGUGUCCUAUUUGUGAAGAUAAAAAAGAUUGGAAGGGCUUGGAGUUUGGUCAGAAGAAUGUCUUUCUUCGAUCAUCGGAGAUUUUAAAUUCAAAUCAUCACUACCGUGGAUGGAGAAAGGCGUUCAAUGGAGAGACAGAACAAGGCCAAAACUCCACCUAUAUUGACGGGUGAUCAAAUUUUUGAAAAGGUGAAAGAUUUGGAUACUCAGUUUGGCAAGCCUUUUGUCCACACACUUGUCAAAAGUGGGUGGAAGAAAGAGGUCAGUUUUUUUUGAAUUGCCGUAUUGGAAGUCCUUGUAUGUGAGACAUUUUCUUGAUGUUAUGCCAUAUUGAAAAAAAAUGUUUUGAAAGUGUUAUUGGCACGUUACCUCAAUAUACAAGGGAAAGUCUAAGGAUGGCCUAAGGCAAGAAAGGACUUGAUAGCGAUGGGAAUAAGAACUGAAUUAAGGACCCUUGAAAGAAAGGGGAAAAAAACAUUGUGUAAGUUUCUCAAGUGAAGUUAAAGUUCCAGAAGGGUACUCUUCAGAUAUUAGAAGACUUGUGUCUAUGAAAGACCUCAAGUUAAAGAGUUAUAAAGACCCAUGAUUGCCAUGUAUAAUGGAACAUUUUCCCAAUAGGUAUACGUUCUAUUCUUCCAGAAAAAGUAAGAAGCUCUAUAACUUAAGUUGUAUUCUUCUUCAAGUCAAUUUGCAGUAAGGUGAUCGAUCCUGCGAUCUUACCAAUGUUGCAAAAAGAAAUCUUAUUACUUUGUGUGAGCUUGAAAUGUUUUUUCCUCCAUCAUUUUUUGACAUAAUGGUACAUCUAGUUGUUCAUCUUGUGAAAGAGACACAAUUGUGUGGACCAGCUAUAUGAGAUGGAUGUACCCUGUUGAACGUUAUAUGAAAAUAUUAAAAGGGUACGUGGAAGAACCGAAGUCGACCAGAAGGUUGUAUGGUUGAAAGAUACAUUGUUGAAGAAGCGAUUGAGUUUGUACUGAAUAUUGUCUAAUGUUCAGUCAAUCGGACUCCCCAAGUCUCAGCUUGUCGAAAAGAAAGAAGGAAAAAAUCUAAUUGAAAUAAAAUCGUGGCAGUAAUCAAGGGUCGAACGGGAUCAAGUGCAUUUGUAUGUUCUGCACAAUGAGAAUGAGGUUGAGUCGUAUGUGGAAAAUUUUACAAGGAUGUUCUCCGAGGUUUAAAUCCCAAUAGAAAUGAAAUUGGAUAGUACGAGAGAACAAUCGAUGUUUUAUACCUUGGUUUAAGGAUCAUAUUAUUCAAAGUAAUUAUUCAGACCCGCUUCAAUAACAGAAAGGUUGAGA